CAGUCUCUAGUGAAUCGCAACAUCCGAGCACCACAGCCCUCACACUCCUCAGUAGACGUCGUAGUAGUUAUCUCCAAUUGUAAUAAAGCCUUUGAGGCAUUGUAUCUCCCCGUGGUGGAGGUAGGCAUAAGGUAGUCUUUUUACCUCUUUGUAAUCCCUUCGAGGUCUCCCGAAAGGGAAACUCGUAUGUAAAUUAUGUUGUUGAAAUGAAGUAGUUUCGUGUUUCAUUUGGUCUAUCUGUUAUGAAUUUAUGAGAUGAGUCUUACGCUAGGGAUCCUAUAGGAGAAACCUGAUACGUCUCCAACGUCUUUAUAAUUUUUGAUUGUUCCAUGCAAUUAUAUUAUCUGUUUUGGAUGUUUCAUAUGCAUCAAUAUGAUAUUUUAUAUUAUUUUUGGGACUAACUUAUUAACCUAGAGCUCAGUGCCAGUUUCUUUUUUUCUUCUUGUUUUUCAGUUUCGCAGAAAAAGAAUAUCAAACGGAUUCCAAACGGAAUGAAACUUCACGAUGAUUUUUCUUGGACCAGAAGACACCCAGGGGACAUGGAGUCCAAGCCAGAAGAGCCACGAGGCGGCCGCAAGGGUGAAGGUGAUACGUCUCCAACGUAUCUAUAAUUUUUGAUUGUUCCAUGCUAUUAUAUUAUCUGUUUUGGAUGUUUUAUAUGCACUAAUAUGCUAUUUUAUAUGAUUUUUGGGACUAACCUAUUAACCUAGAGCCCAGUGCUAGUUUCUGUUUUUUUCCUUGUUUUAGAGUUUCGCAGAAAAGGAAUACCAAACGGAGUCCAAACGGAAUAAAACUUUCGCGAUGAUUUUUCUUGGACCAGAAGACACCCAUGAGACUUGGAGUGCAAGUCAGAGGAGCCUCGAGGCGGCCACAAGGGUGGAGGGCGCGCCCAGGGGGUGGGAGGCGCCCCCAACCUUGUGGGCCCCUCGUAGCUCCUCUGACAUAAUUCUUCCUCCUAUAUAUACUCUUAUACCCCAAAAACAUCCAGGGGAGCCACGAAACCACUUUUCCACCAUCGCAAUCUUCUAUACCCGUGAGAUCCCAUCUUGGGGCCUUUUCCGGCAUCCUACCAGAGGGGGAAUCAAUCACGGAGGGCUUCUACAUUAGCACAUUGCCUCUCCUAUGAAGCGUGAGUAGUUUACUUCAGACCUACGGGUCCAUAGCUAGUAGCUAGAUGGCUUCUUCUCUCUCUUUGAUUCUCAAUAAAAAAGUUCUCCUCGAUGUUCUUGGAGAUCUAUUCGAUGUAAUACUCUUUUGCGGUGUGUUUGCCGAGAUCCGAUGAAUUGUGGAUUUAUGAUCAGCUUAUAUAUGAAUAUUAUUUGAAUCUCCUCUGAAUUCUUAUAUGCAUGAUUUGAUAUCUUUGCAAGUCUCUUCGGACGAUCGAUUUGGUUUGGCCAACUAGAUUGGUUUUUCUUGCAAUGGGAGAAGUGCUUAGCUUUGGGUUCAAUCUUGCGGUGCUCGAUCUUAGUGACAGAAGGGGAACCGACACGUAUUGUAUUGAUCAUGGAUAACAAGAUGGGGUUUUCAUCAUAUUGCUUGAGUUAAUCCCGCUACAUCAUGUCAUCUUGCUUAAUGCGUUACUCUGUUCUUAUGAACUUAAUACUGUAGAUGCAGGCAGGAGUCGGUCGAUGUGUGGAGUAAUAGUAGUAGAUGUAGGCAGGAGUCGAUCUACCUGAUACGAACGUGAUGCCUAUAUUCAUGAUCAUUGCCUUAGAUAUCGUCAUAACUUUGCGUUUUUCUAUCAAUUGCUCGGCAGUAAUUUGUUCACCCACCAUAAUAAUUUCUAUCUUGAGAGAAGCCUCGAAUGAAACCUAUGGCCCCGAGUCUAUUUUACAUCAUAUAAGUUUCCGAUCUACAAUUCUAGUUUCCUAUUUACUUUCUUUUGCAAUUUUACUUUCUGUUCCAUAAACCAAAAAUACCAAAAAUACUACUUUACCGUUUAUCCAUCUCUAUCAGAUCUCACUUUGCGAAUAACCAUGAAGGGAUUGACAACCCCUUUUUCGUGUCGGUUGCAAGUUGGUGUUUGUUUGUGCAGGUAUUCGGUGGCUUGUUGCGUAGUCUCCCACUAGUGCAGAACCGGGCUACAGCACCGGUUUGUAAGGGCCUUUAGUGCCGGUUCUGCAACCAGCACUAAAGGGUGGGGACUAAAGGUCCCCCCCUUAGUACCGGUUAUGCACGAACGGCCGCUAAAGUGCCACCACGUGGCACGAGCCGGCGCCGGGGACGGGGAGACCUUUAGUAGCGGUUGGCAACAUCAACCGGUACUAAAAGGUUAGGGGGGUUUUGGGUUCAGGGUUUCUUUUUCCUUUAAUUUUGUGUUUUCCAUUUAAUUCUUUUUCGUUUGCUGGUAUACGAUACUACAUAUUGUACACAUUAUGCAUAUAUAUAUAAAAAUAGAAUUUCUUGUAGAACCGAUUAUAUAUAUAUAUAUACAUACACACAUAUUCACACACACACACACACACACACACACACAUAUAUAUAUAUAUAUAUCAUUGAAUGUCUCGCACCACCAUAUUCACACAUACACAUGUAUGUAUAUAUAUACAAUUUGAUAUAUACAAUUUCUCCUACAUGGAGGCAUUACUGCGGUAGCGGGUAAUGGAAUUCUCCUCUAGGAUCUAUGACCUGGUCGAGCAAAAAUCCCGCUAUUUCCUCUGCAAUUGCUCGUACGCGAUCCAUUGGUAGGAGCUUCUGCCGCACCUCAUUGAACUAUUAAUUAAGAAGGAGAUCAAUAUGCAUGUAUUAGUUGUGUGACUAGAUAUCGAUAAUGAUGUAAAAAUUGUGUAUAGUGUUCUGGCAAACGUACCCAUGGCUGUCUAUCAGAUGUGCUCCUUUCGGACGUCAUCAUGCGAAUGUUCUCGCAAUCGUAGUAUGCACAUAAAUCAUUCCCCGGCUCCUGCUUCAUGGCCUGUACGAGAAUAGAGUUCAAUCAGAUAAUAAUUAAUCAAGCAUGAUAAUUAAUGGUAUUGAAACUAGAAUUAAAGAGAUUGCAUGGUAGCUAGCUACUACUACUUAAUUAAUUACCGUGGGUCGAUACCAAUACAGAUUUUCUCUGAACGGGCCUGGAACGUCUUUGAUGAACUUUUGCCAAGCCCUGCCGGCCCGCUGGCAAAGAAAAUGAAUAAAGGAGUUAUUCAUUAGUUGAUAUCAGGACAUAUAUAUAAUGAUUGAAAUUACCUGUUGACUAUCCCCUUCACGAUUGAGUACUCUUUAGGUUUUUUAAGCAGUGAUUCCAGUACUUCAACUUUUCCUUCUUUAACUUUAAUGUCUACCAAGAUCCAGUGGUACCUGCAUGCGCACGUUUGCAUGUAUAAAUUAAGCGGGCAUGUGCAUAACACUCAUCAACUAACCCUAAACCCUAUACACUUAUUAACAUCUAGCUAGUAACAAAAACAGAAUUUGUAGUACAAGACAGUGUGACUCACUGGAAGUUGUAAGGAAGUAGUAUAUCUGCAUUGGUAUUGAGGCGCUUCAAGAACUCUAGCAUGUUAUUCUCUACUUCUUGUUUAUAAUAUUCAUAUGAUCAUGUCUCUUCAUUAAUUGUAUUUGGGUCAAUGAACCCAAUGCCAUAGCGUUCAGAUUUUCUCAUUUCGGACAUGUUCAUCCUGCAUAAUACCACAGAAAAGAAUAUAGUGAGGAUAAUUACAGGUAAUGAUCAACGAGAGCACUACAGCUAGCUUGAGACUUAAAUUACAGAAAGAAAUCACUUACAGACAAUAGCAACUGACGAUAGAUUUGUCGAGUGCGUCAUAAUUGGAUAACUGAAACAGUUCUAUAUACUCAAUAGAUAGAGCUAGCUUAUGGAAGUAAUCCUCUUCCUUGACUUUCACCAUGAGGGACUCUAGAUUGUGGGUAUUGCAAAUUUCCAUGUACCAUUGAUGCAAUUCAUACAUUCUCGUUGGGAGGUUCUUGACCUCCUCGGGCUCGACCAAAGGUUCGCCGCGGACAUAUUUCCGUUUUAUUUCCUCCUCUCUAAGCGGAGACAUGGGCUCGAUCUCAAGGAGUUGUCCAACAGUCAUACCGAGCAUUUCAGCCUGCAUUAUAUGCUCCUCGGUUAUUACCAGAUUGCCCAGCUGGGGAACGGUUUGCCCACAUACAUAUAUGGCACCGGUACUCUUAUGUGUUGUUGGGACAACAAGCGGGGGGAUCGAUUGCGCCGCCUGUUCUCCCAGCUGGGGAACGGUUUUCCUGCAUUUUUUGCCAGCUGCUUGGCUCGAGCUCGAGCUCGACUCCUUCUGUACUCGUGCUCGAUGUGCCUUCCUGAUUUGGUGCUCAUAGUCUGAGUCAAUAGGCUUGGGAGCUGGUGGUCUAGCCAUACGAAUAAAGUGGUCAAUCUUUUCCUCAGGCACUUUCUCCCUUGGCGGCGGUGCCGGUUUCGGUCCAAAAUGGGCGUCCACUUGGGACUUCACUAUGGCUUCGUUUGGCUCCUCGGUCAUGUCAUAAGGCCUCUGAGGAAGAGGAACGAGGCUUGGACCAUAUUUAUAUCGCUUGCCUCUGCCUGUACCUCCUGUACUACCUCGACUCGUACCGCUACGCACCAUAGUUGCGGCGUGUCUCUUCCCCGAUUGCUGAGGCGGCGGAGACGGCUGACGUGGCUGAGUUGGAGCAGGAGGAGUGGCCUGACGCUGUGCCGGACUUGAAGCACGAGGAGUGGCCUCACGCGGUGUCAGACUUGAAGCAGGAGGAGUGGCCUCACGCUGUGUCGGACUUGAAGCAGGAGGAGUGGACUGCUGCUGUGCCGGACUUGGAGGAGGAGGAGUGGCCUCACAUCAAGGAGGAGUCGGAUGACGACGCGGUGUCGGUGGCCUUCGAAAGAUGAUGCAAUCCUUUCUCCAUAGGAUGAUACAAUGUAUGGCCUCUCCCAGUGUGUGCUCCUCGUCAGCUCCAGGAAUGUCAAGCUCUAGCCCCGAAUAUUGGUCCACCACCUCAUCAACCACGACACGAGCAUAGCCGGCUAGAAUCGGGUUGCAAUGGAAGGUUGCUUCGGGGGGAUUUGUAUAAGCAAUGGCGUCCGCCACCUUCAUGGAUAUGUUCUUCAUUUUGAAGUGUAGCUCACAGUUAGUGCUCUCCAUGAUGUCAUCCAUAGGGUAUCUAUCCAGCAGUGUGUCGCCCGGGGCGGAACCAACGCUGCUUCUCGGCAUGGAUGGGAUGGUGCUAUCCAAUGCUGGAUCAUCCGAUAGCUGCUGCCGCUGCUGAGACCCCCUUUCCUGGCUAAGUGAGUCGAUCAGCUGCUGCUGCCGCUGGAAUUUGAGUGCCAAGUCCGCGUGCGCUGAUUCUAGGCCUUGAAGGUGUUCUGCUUCCUGCUUCCUCUGCUCCUCCUCCAACUUCCUCUUCUUCUCCUCCUCCAUCUUCCUUCUUGCACAACUCCUAUAGUCGUCCUUCCAGUCCGAAAAGCCCUCAUACCAGGGAAUAACGCCCUUGCCUCGUGUUCUUCCCGGGUGUUCAGGAUUUCCCAGGGCGCGCGUUAGCUCGUCCUUCUCUCUGUUGGGCGUGAACACCCCCGUUCGAGCAUCUUCUAUUGCUUGAAGUAACUUCUCUUCGACUCCUUUUAGACUUGCCUUCUUCGAAACCAGGCCUGCCUUCGGUUCCAACGCCCCCCAUGCGCAUAGAACCAAGUUCUGCACCUGGGGGGCCGGCUCCUAGUAACUGGAGUGACCCCUGCAUCCACCAUCUCUUUCUCAGACUUAUCCCACUUAAGCAUUGCCACCGCGUAGCCACCUGGCCCCAGCCUAUGGAACUGCGUCUUUUUUGCGGCAUUGGCCUUGUUUUUUCUUGACCGUUCCUUAGAUAAUUCUAAUUCCUUGAAUUUCACGAAAGCGGGCCGGUGUUCUCUUUGCUUCUCCGGUGUUCCCUUGAAUUCUGGAGUCUUCCUUUCUCCUUCAACAUAGUUGGCUGCUACCUCUUGAGCAUGCGUUGGUUUUUCCCUUGAAGACCAAAGGGUGAUGCAGUAAAGUAGCAUAAGUAUUUCCCUUAGUUUUUGAGAACCAAGGUAUCAAUCCAGUAGGAGACCACGCUCGAGUCCCACGCACCUACACAAACAAAUAAGAACCUCGCAACCAAUGUGAUGAAGGGGUUGUCAAUCCCUUCACGGUCACUUACGAGAGUGAGAUCUGAUAGAGAUGAUAAGAUAAUAUUUUUGGUAUUUUUAUUAUAUAGAUUGAAAAGUAAAGAACGCAAAAUAAACGGCGCCAGAAAUAGCUUGUUGACGGGAGAUUAAUAUGAUGAAAAAUAGACCCGGGGGCCACAGGUUUCACUAGUGGCUUCUCUCAAGAUAGCAUAAGUAUUACGGUGGGUGUACAAAUUAGUGUCAAGCAAUUGAUAGAAAAGUGCAUAAUUAUGAGAACAUCUAGGCAUGAUCAUGUAUAUAGGCAUCACGUCCGUGACAAGUAGACCGACUCCUGCCUGCAUCUACUACUAUUACUCUACACAUCGACUGCUAUCCAGCAUGCAUCUAGAGUAUUAAGUUCAUAAGAACAGAGUAACGCAUUAGGCAUGAUGACAUGAUGUAGAGGGAUAAACUCAAGCAAUAUGAUAUAAACCCCAUCUUUUUAUCCUCGAUGGCAACAAUACAAUACGUGUCGUUUCCCCUACUGUCACUGGGAUCGAGCACCGCAUGAUUGAAUCCAAAGCUAAGCACUUUUCCCGUUGCAAGAAAGUCCAAUCUAGUAGGCCAAACCAAACUGAUAAUUCGAAGAGACUUGCAAAGAUAACCAAUCAUACAUAAAAGAAUUCAGAGAAGAUUCAAAUAUUGUUCAUAGAUAAUCUUGAUCAUAAACCCACAAUUCAUCGGAUCUCGACAAACACACCGCAAAAAGAGUUACAUCGAAUAUAACUCCAAGAAGAUCAAGGAGAACUUUGUAUUGAGAUCCAAAGAGAGAGAAGAAGCCAUCUAGCUAAUAACUAUGGACCCGAAGGUCUGUGGUAAACUACUCACACAUCAUCGGAGAGGCUAUGGUGUUGAUGUAGAAGCCCUCCAUGAUCGAUUCCCCCUCCGGCGGAGCGUCGGAAAAGGCCCCAAGAUGGGAUCUCACGGGUACAGAAGGUUGCGCGGUGGAAAUAGGUUUUCGUGAUGCUCCUGGAUGGUUUCGGGGUACGUAGGUAUAUAUAGGAGGAAGAAGUAGGUCGGUGGAGCCACGAGGGGCCCACGAGGGUGGAGGGCGUGCCCAGGGGGGUAGGCGCGCCCCCUGCCUCGUGGCCUCCUCGUUGAUUGCUUGACGUCCACUCCAAGUCCUCUAGAUCACGUUUGUUCCAAAAAUCACGCUCCCGAAGGUUUCAUUCCGUUUGGACUCCGUUUGAUAUUCCUUUUCUACGAAACACUGAAAUAGGCAAAAAACAACAACAAUUUGCACUGGGCCUUGGGUUAAUAGGUUAGUCCCAAAAAUAAUAUAAAAGUGUAUAAUAAAGCCCAUUAAACAUCCAAAACAGAAUAUAUAAUAGCAUGGAGCAAUAAAAAAUUAUAGAUACGUUGGAGACGUAUCAAGCAUCCCCAAGCUUAAUUCCUGCUCGUCCUCGAGUAGGUAAAUGAUAAAAACAGAAUUUUUGAUGUGGAAUGCUACCUAGCAUGUUCUUCAAUGUAAUUUUCUUUAUUGUGGCAUGAAUGUUCAGAUCCGAAAGAUUCAAGAUAAAAGUUUAGUAUUGACAUAAAAAUAAUAAUACUUCAAGCACACUAACCAAGCAAUUAUGUCUUCUCAAAAUAACAUAGCUAAAGAAAGUUCAUCCCUACAAAAUCAUAUAGUUUGGCCAUGCUUCAUUUUUCUCACACAAGAAUGCUCUCAUCUUGCACAACCCCGAUGACAAGCCAAGCAAUUGUUUCAUACUUUAGUAAUCUCAAACCUUUUUCAACUUUCACGCAAUACAUGAGCGUGAGCCAUGGAUAUAGCACUAUGGGUGGAAUAGAAUAUGAUGAUGGGGGUUGUGUGGAGAAGACAAAAAAGGAUAAAGUCUCACAUUGACGCGGCUAAUCAACGGGCUAGGGAGAUGCCCAUCGAUUGAUGUCAAUGCAAGGAGUAGGGAUUGCCAUGCAACGGAUGCACUAGAGCUAUAAAUGUAUGAAAGCUCAACAAAAGAAACUAAGUGGGUGUGCAUCCAACUUGCUUGGUCACGAAGACCUAGGGCAUUUGAGGAAGCCCAUUGUUGGAAUAUACAAGCCAAGUUCUAUAAUGAAAAAUUCCCACUAGUAUAUGAAAGUGACAAAACAAGAGACUCUCUAUCAUAAAGAUCAUGGUUCUACUUUGAAGCACAAUUGUGGAAAAAGGAUAGUAGCAUUGUCCCUUUCUAUAUAUUUUUGGGCCUUCUCUUUUUUUAUUUGGCCUUUCUCUUUUUUUUGGGACAAUGCUCUAUAAAUGAUGAUCAUCACACCUCUAUUUAUUUACAACUCAAUGAUUACAACUCGAUACUAGAACAAAAUAUGACUCUAUAUGAAUGCCACCGGCAGUGUACCGGGAUGGGCAAUGAAUCAAGAGUGACAUGUGUGAAAUGAUAUGCAUGGUGGCUUUGCCACAAUACGAUGUCAUAAUAAACGGAACGGUGGAAAGUUGCAUGGCAAUAUAUCUCGGAAUGGCUAUGGAAAUGCCAUAAUAGGUAGGUAUGGUGGCUGUUUUGAGGAAGAUAUAAGGAGGUUUAUGUGUGAUAGAGCGUAUCAUAUCACGGGGUUUGGAUGCACCGGCGAAGUUUGCACCAACUCUCAAGGUGAGAAAGGGCAAUACACGGUACCGAAGAGGCUAGCAAUGGUGGAAGGUUGAGAGUGCGUAUAAUCCAUGGACUCAACAUUAGUCAUAAAGAUCUCACAUACUUAUUGCGAAAAUCUACAAGUCAUCAAAACCCAAGCACUACGCGCAUGCUCCUAGGGGGAUAGAUUGGUAGGAAAAGACCAUCGCUCGUCCCCGACCGCCACUCAUAAGGAUGACAAUCAAAGAACACCUCAUGUUUCAAAUUUGUUACACAAUGUUUACCAUACGUGCAUGCUACGGGACUUGCAAACUUCAACACAAGUAUUUCUCAAAUUCACAACUAAUCAACUAGCACAACUUUAAUAUCACUACCUCCAUAUCUCAAAACAAUCAUCAAGCAUUAAACUUCUCUUAGUAUUCAACGCACUUAUAUGAAAGUUUUUACUAAUCUUGGAUGCCUAUCAUAUUAGGACUAAUUUUAUAACCAAAGCAAAUUACCAUGUUGUUAUAAAGGACUCUCAAAAUAAUAUAAGUGAAGCAUGAGAGAUCAAUAUUUCUAUAAAAUAAAACCACCGCCGUGCUCUAAAAGAUAUAAGUGAAGCACUAGAGCAAAACUAUAUAGCUCAAAAGAUAUAAGUGAAGCACAAAGUGUAUUCUAAUAAAUUCCGAUUAAUGUGUGUCUCUCCCAAAAGGUGUGUACAGCAAGGAUGAUUGUGGUAAACUAAAAAUCAAAGACUCAAAUCAUACAAGACGCUCCAAGCAAAACACAUAUCAUGUCGUGAAUAAAAAUAUAGCUCCAAGUAAAGUUACCGAUGGACGAAGACGAAAGAGGGGAUGCCUUCCGGGGCAUCCCCAAGCUUUGGCUUUUUGGUGUCCUUGGAUUUACCUUGGGGUGCCUUGGGCAUCCCCAAGCUUAGGCUCUUGCCACUCCUUGUUCCAUAAUCCAUCAAAUCUUUACCCAAAACUUGAAAACUUCACAACACAAAACUUAACAGAAAAUCUCAUGAGCUCCGUUAGCGAAAGAAAACAAAACACCACUUCAAGGUACUGUAAUGAACUCAUUCUUUAUUUGUAUUGGUGUUAAACCUACUGUAUUCCAACUUCUCUAUGGUUCAUAAACUCCAUUACUAGCCAUAGAUUCAUCAAAAUAAGCAAACAACACACGAAAAACAGAAUCUGUCAAAAACAGAACAGUCUGUAGUAAUCUGUAUCUCAGAAAAAUCUACUAAAAUAGGACGUCCUAGAUAAUUUGUUUAUUGAUCUACUACAAUUGGAAUCAGUAUUUUAUCACGUUCUGGUGAUUUUUAACAAUUGUUUUCGUGAACAGAAAGUUUCUGGAAUUUUCAGCGAGAUCAAAUAACUAUCAUCCAAGAAGAUCCUAUAGGUUCAACUUGGCACAAACACUAAUUAAAACACAAAAACAAAUCUAACCAGAGGCUAGAUUAAAGAUUUAUUCCUACAGAACCAAAAAGCAAGAAACAAAAAUAAAAUUGGGUUGCCUCCCAACAAGCGCUAUCGUUUAACGCCCCUAGCUAGGCAUAAAGGCAAGAAUAGAUCUAGGUAUUGCCAUCUUUGGUAGGCAAUUCUUCAAUAAAACACUUAUAACCCUUAGGAGUUUCCUUCUUUUUAUUAGUUAUCAAACUCCUAGGCAAGGAAUCGACAAAAACAUUUGUAGCAAAAGGUUCCUUAAUGAUAGCGAGAAAGUUGGGGUGAACACUUAUGGAUUUGAGAUCCGCAUUUUCCUUACUAGAAGUUUCACCCUUAUUUUUAGGAACAUACAUAAAUUUGGAAAUUUUAGCAUUAGAAGGUUUUGGAGUAUUUUUCACUGAAGAAAAGGCAGACCCUAGGUUGGUGAUAAUAUCCUCAAUUUUAUCGAUUCUAGUGGACUCUUGAUCUAUCUUUUCGUCAACCAUGUGUUCCUUUUCUUUAAAAAAUUUAAGAGCAACUUCUACCUUAGAUCCAUAUUGGGUAAUUUGGUUGUGGAUCUUUCUAUCCAAAUUUUCAAUCAACUCUAUGGUGGCAACUUUAUUUUCAAUAAUUUCAAGUCUUUGCAUCACAUGUUCCAAAGUUAAAAUAGUUCCAUUAACCAAAAGAGGUGGUGGGCCAAACAAAUAUAUCAUAGCAUUAUAAGAAUCAAAAGUAUGGCUACCCAAGAAAUUCCCUCCGGUAAUGGUAUCAAGAAUAUAUCUAUUCCAAGGAGUGAUGCCUACAUAGAAAUUGCGAAGAAGAACAGAAGUAGAUUGCUUCCUAGUAGAUCUAUUUUGCGCAUUGCAAAUUCUGUACCAAGCAUCUUUUAGAUUUUCUCCCUCCCUUUGUUUAAAAUUAAGAACUUCAUUCUUAGGAGAUAAAGGAGUGGAUAAAGGACUAGCCAUAAAGACAAACGGGACACAAGAGGCAAGUGAAAGAAAGAGCGAACGGAAAAAGAGGGCGAAUAAAAUAGCAAGGGUGAAGUGGGGGAGAGGAAAACGAGAGGCAAAUGGCAAAUAAUGUAAUGCGAGGGAUAAGAGUUUGUGAUGGGUACUUGGUAUGUCUUGACUUGUGCGUAGACUCUCCGGCAACGGCGCCAGAAAUCCUUCUUGCUACCUCUUGAGCAUGCGUUGGUUUUUCCCUUGAAGAGGAAAGGGUGAUGCAGCAAAGUAGCGUAAGUAUUUCCCUCAGUUUUUGAGAACCAAGGUAUCAAUCCAGUAGGAGGCCACACGCAAGUCCCUCAUACCUACACAAACAAAUAAGAACCUUGCAACCAAUGCGAUAAAGGGGUUGCCAAUCCCUUCACGACCACUUGCAAAAGUGAGAUCUGAUAGAGAUGAUAAGAUAAUAUUUUUGGUAUUUUUCUUAUAUAGAUUGAAAAGUAAAGAACGCAAAAUAAACGGUGCCAGAAAUAGCUUGUUGACGGGAGAUUAAUAUGAUCGAAAAUAGACCCGGGGGCCAUAGGUUUCACUAGUGGCUUCUCUCAAGAUUGCAUAAGUAUUACGGUGGGUGAACAAAUUACUGUCGAGCAAUUUUGAUAGAAAAGUGCAUAAUUAUGAGAAUAUCUAGGCAUGAUCAUGUAUAUAGGCAUCACGUCCGUGACAAGUAGACCAACUCCUGCCUGCAUCUACUACUAUUACUCCACACAUCGACCGCUAUCUAGCAUGCAUCAAGAGUAUUAAGUUCAUAAGAACGGAGUAACGCAUUAGGCAAGAUGACAUGAUGUAGAGGGAUAAACUCAAGCAAUAUGAUAUAAACCCCAUCCUUUUAUCCUCGAUGGCAACAAUACAAUACGUGUCGUUUCCCCUACUGUCACUGGGAUCGAGCACCGCAUGAUUGAACCCAAAGCUAAGCACUUCUCCCAUUGCAAGAAAGAUCAAUCUAGUAGGCCAAUCAAAACUGAUAAUUCGAAGAGACUUGCAAAGAUAACCAAUCAUACAUAAAAGAAUUCAGAGAAGAUUCAAAUAUUGUUCAUAGAUAAUCUUGAUCAUAAACCCACAAUUCAUCGGAUCUCGACAAACACACCGCAAAAAGAGUUACAUCGAAUAGAACUCCAAGAAGAUCAAGGAGAACUUUGUAUUGAGAUCCAAAGAGAGAGAAGAAGCCAUCUAGCUAAUAACUAUGGACCCGAAGGUCUAUGGUAAACUACUCACACAUCAUCGGAGAGGCUAUGGUGUUGAUGUAGAAGCCCUCCGUGAUCGAUCCCCCCUCCGGCGGAGCACCGGAAAAGGCCCCAAGAUGGGAUCUCAUGGGUACAGAAGGUUGCGGCGGUGGAAAUAGGUUUUCGUGGUGCUCCUGGAUGGUUUUGGGGUACGUAGGUAUAUAUAGGAGGAAGAAGUAGGUCGGUGGAGCCACGAGGGGCCCACGAGGGUGGAGGGCGCGCCCCCUGCCUCGUGGCCUCCUCGUUGAUUGCUUGACGUCCACUCCAAGUCCUCUGGAUCACAUUUGUUCCAAAAAUCACUCUCCCGAAGGUUUCAUUCCGUUUGGACUCCGUUUGAUAUUCCUGUUCUAUGAAACACUAAAAUAGGCAAAAAAAACAGCAAUUUGCACUGGGCCUUGGGUUAAUAGGUUAGUCCCAAAAAUAAUAUAAAAGUGUAUAAUAAAGCCCAUUAAACAUCUAAAACAGAAUAUAUAAUAGCAUGGAGCAAUAAAAAAUUAUAGAUACAUUGGAGACGUAUCAUUGGCCCAUACAGUUUUCUUGUGGGUGUUGAAUGCAAUUGCCAUCUUCUUAAGAGUUGCGUCCUUGACUUUCUGCACAUUUGCAUCACUGAAAUGAUCUGGUAGGGUGAAAUGUUCCAUGAGAGAUUCCCAAAGCAUUUGUUUUGCUCUGUCGUCGACCCAAGUAACAUCUGGACGUUUCUUUGCUGGCUCUUUCCAUUAUUGAAUGGAGAUCGGGAGUUGGUCCUUCACAAGAACUCCACACUGAUGAACGAACUUGUUCGCAAUGUUCUUAGGCGCUAGUGGUUCGUCAUUAGCUUUGAUGUCAUCGAUGUUGUACUUUAUGCCCUCCUUCAACUUUUUGCCCGGGCCUCGCACUGUCCUGCUGCCUAGAGAAGUAGAUUUGCUCGAUCCGGAGGGCUAAGAAAGAUCGAUUCGUUAAUAUAUCUUCAAAUCAAUUAAAACAUGUGAUGAUCACCAGAUGCCUGCUUAUAUAAAUUAAUAUACCUUGUCGGUAUCUGUUAUUUCAAGAUCAACAUUGUCGGCAUCAUCAUAAUCAUAAUCAUAGUUCAUGACUUCAUCAAUUCGGUCGUCGCGAUCGAAUAUCAUAUCAUCACCCUCCCCGGUAUUGUUCAGAUAUUCGGAGCCGUCAUAGUCUUCAUUCUGAUCAUCUGGCCCGCGAGGGCUGCGUAUGAUCUCGAACAGGGCCUCUUCUCCCUCUCUGCCAGUAUUGUCCGCCAUAACUUUUAUUUAACUAAUCCUGAAGAAAUAUAAAACAAUUUGGUAUUCAAAUUACAAUGCAUGGAUGCAAUCAAUAAGGAAAAACUGAAUCAUAGUACAUAAUAUAUAAUCUUGAAUACAUCGUCUCGAAUAAUAUAUAAUCUCGAAUACAUCGUCUCUAAUAAUAUAUAUAAUCUCGAAUACAUCGUCUCGAAUAUUAUAUAUCGAAUACAUCACUAGCUAGCUAGCUAAUAAAGAUCGAAUACUACAGAAGAAUCUAGGCCACUCGCGGUUCCUAAGGCGCGGGCGGUGGACACCCAAAGAGAAGGAACCAUCACAGGAUCAUAUCUCCGGUCAUCUGCCCAAAGAACCUGCCAGGUAUUGGAGAACCUGACGUCCAUAGCAGCCAUGUAACGACGGACAUGCUCGUCCUCCUCCCUGACAUGGCGAUGCACCACCUCCGGCGGGGCCGGCUCCCUCUGCACCGAAUGUGGCCCACGCAAAUGCCACCAAAGGAGAUCAGGGUCGACGACGGGACCCAGGGCCGGGUUCCUCACCAAGCGGCGCGCCCCUGAAGGUAGCUCCUCCCAGUGCCAGCCCGGCGGAGCCCAGUCCCGGACAUGGGUCUCGUCGUGAACGGGUCGACGACGAGGAUGCGGGUCGGGCAUCGUCGAAAACAAAAACUAUAUGCAAAUGUAACAUUUUUUAAAUUAUUGGAUUGUGAUAUCUUAUAUACAAAUUCUAAAUUUCUAUAACUAAAAUUAUAAGAAACUAAAAAAACUUCGAUCAUCGUCUAACAAUUGAAAUUAAUCUAAUUCAUCUAGCUAAAACUAACAUUUCUAAAAUUUCUAACAUUUCUAUAUCUAAAAUUUAUAACAUUUGUAUAAAAAACAGAAAAAAAAACCUUUGACAUUAUAUUAUAACUAACAUGCCUAUAUACUAUUUGACAUUAAUCUAAUCUAAUUAAUUAAUUCACCUAAAACUUUGUAUGAAAAACAGAAAAAUUGUGUGUGUGUGUGCGCGUGCGCGUGUAGUGUGUGUGUGUGNNNNNNNNNNNNNNNNNNNNNNNNNNNNNNNNNNNNNNNNNNNNNNNNNNNNNNNNNNNNNNNNNNNNNNNNNNNNNNNNNNNNNNNNNNNNNNNNNNNNNNNNNNNNNNNNNNNNNNNNNNNNNNNNNNNNNNNNNNNNNNNNNNNNNNNNNNNNNNNNNNNNNNNNNNNNNNNNNNNNNNNNNNNNNNNNNNNNNNNNNNNNNNNNNNNNNNNNNNNNNNNNNNNNNNNNNNNNNNNNNNNNNNNNNNNNNNNNNNNNNNNNNNNNNNNNNNNNNNNNNNNNNNNNNNNNNNNNNNNNNNNNNNNNNNNNNNNNNNNNNNNNNNNNNNNNNNNNNNNNNNNNNNNNNNNNNNNNNNNNNNNNNNNNNNNNNNNNNNNNNNNNNNNNNNNNNNNNNNNNNNNNNNNNNNNNNNNNNNNNNNNNNNNNNNNNNNNNNNNNNNNNNNNNNNNNNNNNNNNNNNNNNNNNNNNNNNNNNNNNNNNNNNNNNNNNNNNNNNNNNNNNNNNNNNNNNNNNNNNNNNNNNNNNNNNNNNNNNNNNNNNNNNNNNNNNNNNNNNNNNNNNNNNNNNNNNNCGACGGCGACAGCGAGGCGAGGUCGACCAAGGCGACGGCGGCGACGGCGAGGCGAGGGGACGGUGACGGGGACGGCGACGUACGACGCGGGACGUACGGGGCGGCGGCGCGACGGGGACGGUGACGACGGGGACGGCGCGACGGGGGCGGCGACGGCGCGGGACGGCAGGGCAGCGGCAGAGAGAAGUGGGAGAUGAAAAACUGAAUUUUUUCGAAGCGUUUCUUAUAUAGGAUUAACCUUUAGUAUCGGUUGGAGCCACCAACCGGUACUAAAGGUCAAAUUUUGCCAGGCCAAGCGGCGGGAAGGGCGCCCCUUUAGUACCGGGUGGUGGCUCCAACCGGUACUAAAGGCCGCCCUUUAGUACCGGUUGGAGCCACGACCUGGUACUAAAGGGUGUGCGCUGCCAGGCGAGGGACGGAAAGUUUAGUCCCACCUCGCGGGGCGAAGGGCAGCCGCACUGGUUUAUAAACCGAACCGCGGCUGCUCUAUCGAACUCCUCUAUAAAGCAGGCUUCUGGGCCUAACUAUAGCGCUGCCCUGUGAGCCUGCUGGCCCUUCUGGGCCUGAAUUUCCACACCCGAGGUCUGGCAGGCCCACUGGGCAGCGCCCCAACAAUUUUUUAUAUAGUUUUUUUCUUUUCUGCAUUAUUUAUUUUCUUCUAUUUAUUUCUGAGUAAAUUUUUUAUAUAGUUUUUUCUUUUCUGCUUUAUUUGUUUUCUUCUAUUUAUUUCUGAGUAGUUUUUUUAUAUAGUUUUUUUCUUUUCUGCUUUAUUUAUUUUCUUCUAUUUAUUUCGAAAGAGAUUGUCCAGUUUGUACACGAGGUGCAUCAAGUUUUUGCCGUGACCCUCUCUACUUUUUUGCACAUGCUAUGCGGGUGAAAUGAUGAUACCAUGCCAAGUUUCAACCUUUUCAGAGUUCAUUUGUAGUGCUUUACAAUUUCAGGGCCAUUUAGCUCAAAACAAAUCAAUAAAUGCAUUAAAAUAGCAAAUUAUGUCAGAAAGGGUUGAAAGUUGAUGACGUGGCUUUGAAUGGCGCCUGCUGAACGCAAAAAAAGUCCGGAGUUGUAAUAAGUUAUUAAAAUUGCCGGUGUAACAGAUGAGUUUUCGUCCAAAACCCUGAUACUUCGAAAGAGAUUGCCCAGUUUGUACACGAAGUGCAUCAAAUUUUUGCCAUGACCCUCUCUACUUUUUUGCACAUGCACUAAAAAAAAAUACACUUUCGUGAUGAUACGUGUUCGUCACAGUAGGUCACGUUUUCUGUCAUGCAUGUACAUCCAUGACAAAUUUAUGACAGAAUCAAGAUAGUCAUACGUGUGCUGUCGUAGAAGUGUUCCAUGACAUUACCAAAAUAUCAUCACAGAAGUGUCCACUUCCAUGACGAUAAAUCGCGUGUCACAGAAGUGCUUUCGGCAAGGGUGACCGACACAUGGCAUCCACCGUAACGGAACGCCGUUAAGCUAUCGGGUCCGGUUUUGGAUCCGAUAACCCGUUAACAGCCCCGACCAAUGGGGAUUUUCCACGUGUAAAAUCAUCAUUGGCUGGAGGAAACACAUGUCGGCUCACCGUUGGGACAGAUGUCAUCCACUCAUUGGACCCAAAGCGCCUAUGAUACGUCGACACGUGGCACGGCCCAACAAAGGCCCAUUCCUAUGAAAAGGCCGGCCUGUUUGACUUGGUCAAAAGGUGGCGGGCGGCCCACGGCAAGCCUGUUAACGGCCUAUUCACAUAUAGCCCAUUUACAGCCCGCUAUCCGAGGACCCGUUUACGGCCUAUCCAAAUUAGGCCCAGUAGCAUCAUCUGGGCCGUCCAAUAUAAUUCCAGCCCGUUUUAACUUCCGGCCCAUGUAUGGCCCAUGACGUCUUUCGGCCCAUAUGAGGCCCUUAGUAACCCUCGGCCCCUUAACGGCCCGUGGUAAAACUAGCCCGUUAUGAACAGUGUAUCACUUUAUACCCAUUAACGGCCCAUUAUUCCGUUGGGCUGUUUCCAGCCCAUGUUAUCUUUCGGCCUUCUCAGGGCCCAUAUAUUCUUGGGCUCAUUUCCAGCAUUCCGUUACUUACGGCCCGUUACUGUCAUUUUCUGCUUGUGGGCCAAAUUUAGCCCAUGGUUACAGUCGGCCUGUUUGUGGCCUGUUAAUACGCUGGGCCGUUUUCAUGUCGAAAAAAACCCGUUGAGCUAUUUUCAUAGAGUUAUCAAAUACGGUCUAUUAACGGCCCGUUAUUGUCCACGAAUAGUACGACCCAUGAUUGGCGAAAUGAUGAUACGCCCCGUAGAAGGCCCAUGGAUCGUAUGGCCCGUAAAAGGCCCAUGUAUCGUACGGCCCGUAGAAGGCCCAUGGAUCCUACGGCCCGUAUAGAAGGCCAAUGGAUCCUACGGCCCGUAGAAGGCCCAUGGAUCAUACAGCCCGCAGGAGGCCCAUGGUUACAACAGUCUGUGUGUUGCCAUGAUUAUUUUGGCCCAGUUUCCAAAAAUAGGUUAUUGUGGCCACUAGAAAAACACAGAAAAAGAACUGCAGUGACUACAAGCAAACAACUAAACAAGACAAUAAGGAAAUAAAUAAGCAAGCAAUUAAUGCUAGCCUAUUACCGCUAUUACACAUAUUACAUCCACUGGGCAUCAAAGUUUGCCACCAGUGCAAAUAUAGGGAACAAAGCAGCAUAUUACAUACACUGGCCGUCAAAAUUGGCCACCAGUGCAAAUAAAUGCGGCAGCAAAACAAGAGCAUAACUGAAACAACUUCAGAAGAGCUCAAGAAACGUGGUAUCCACCAUGCUGGCAAUAAGCUUAGCAAGCUUAUUAGCUUUGUCCUGUUUGGCGCUAAAAUCCUCCAACGCUUGCUGUUGCACCAGAAAGUAUGCAUCUGAAUGCUCCAGGGACUUCCGCAGUCCUUCCGCUUCUUGUCAUAGCACAGCUGAUCGAUGUCUUUCAGCUUGUAGUUGAGACUCAAGAAACCAAACUAAUUCAGACAAUGAGUUUGAAUAGCUUAUGCAAGCAGUAGUGGCCAGUAACUCGAACACUAAACCAAGACAGGACUUUGGGGUUGUCUCACUGUCUUCGAGAUAGUAUUCCUUAGCCGUUUUACCAGCUUUGUUGGAGACCAACAAGGAUGUGUCACUAUCCUGAACCUUAUCUGCAUUACUUCCUUUACCAUUGCUUAAUAAGGCACUCUUCCCCAAUAUUCUGUCAGCAUUCUAAAAGAAGAAACAAGCAGACACAUAACAAGUUUAGCAUGUACUAGUAUAUGAAACUCAUUUCGGUGAACCAGUUCAUUAGUAAGGUGGACAUGAUUAAACUACCAAGUCUUCUAUUGCCAAGUACUAGUACAUAAUAAAAACAUCAAACAAACAUAUAUCUAUGUCUUAUGGUCACUGCAUUGUCUUGCCAAAUCAAAAUAGAGACACGGUUCAAAUCAUAUCAGUUCAAGACAAAGCAGCAGUGAAAGAAUACAAAGCGUGGGAAACUACAUGGCACAACAAGAUUUCAGAUGGGUACCACGGGUCUACAUGUACAACAACACUAUUGGCUCCGUUGUGAUGCUAGUAAUGUGCAUGAUAUGAGAAGUCAACUGUAUACACAAUUGAAAUUGAAAUCAACAGAGCUAUUGAUAAGAGCAAGCCUGUUAAAGAAACAUGCAUGAACAUACCUGUUGUGCCAUUGGAGUUUCGAUUGGAUCCCUCAAUUUAAAAAUAAGUUUGUAUGAGUAAAUACAGUGAUACAAGAGCAAAGCAGUAUGCACGAUAGCAAUCAUAGUUAAAAAAGGUGCGCCUAAGCGAGCGCUUAAGCGCGCCUAGGCUCUAGGCGUUGGCGAAACGCAUUGCGCAUAACUACGCUUAAUCUGUGCAUAACUGCGCAUAAGCAUGCGCUUUGGUCAGUAAAGCACAAGGCGGUGGCAAAACGCACAAUUAACGCCUAGCGCUUUUUUGAACUAUGAUAGCAAUCGAAUCUUAAAUUAGAACAGUUGUUCUUCAGGUUUAGGCACUUGUUCUACAUGAACAGAGUACAGUAAGACGCAAGAAUAUAGUACUUAAAAUAGAAAAUGAGCUCAUAGACCUUACCACAUUCUUGGUUUGGGACCAGUACAGAACAAGGCGUUCCCAGUCAUCGUCCAGUAAAUGUGUCUCAGGAGAACGUAAGGGAAUUUGAUGAGUUUCUUUGCCGGUGAAGUACGUUUUCUUCAGGUAAUUCCGAUACUUCCACCAAGCAUUCUUGAAGAUAGCAGAGGUAUUAGCACAGGUUACCUCAUCCUAAGUUUCCAAAUCGGUCCUUCUCUAUAGAGAAAAAUGGGAAAAUUUGCUGUAUUAUAACCAUCAUGGAGGUAGGAUGUAUGGGACAAAGCAAAGUAAUUGCCAUGAAUAACAUUACUUACACAUAACUCCUGGACAAACACCUGCAACUGGCAUUUUCCUUCAUCUUCAGUAUAAUAUUUCCAAGAUGGGAAGAUACGCACAUACAAUUUAACAACAUCAAAUGCGAUAGAUGCUAAACUAUGACUAGCUGGUUGUUCUUCCUCCACAGGAAUAGGCGUACUAACUGGUGGAGUUGGGGUUCACCGUGGUAGUACUGGCCCUUUGGGCACUGGAGCUGCCUUACUAACUGCUCUUGUUUGGGAGCUCUGUGGUGGAGAUGGUGCUGUGUCAACAGGAACUGGGUUACUAUCUGCUGGGGUUGGGGUUAGAUUGGGUGAAGCUGGUUCUCUGUCCAUCGCAGUAGGGGUACAAUCUGCGAGAGUUUGAGUUAUGUGUGGUAGGGCUGGUUCUCGUGCAUGUACAACCGGGGUGCUAUCUCCACCAAGAGGUGACACUGUUUUAUUUGAAGACCGUGUUUUUAGUCCGCUAGAUGCUGGUAUCACCUGCUCCAAUUCAAAUGGCUGAUAAACAGGAAACAUAGUUGAAUGUACAGACAUUGUAUGAGAGACAGAUGCAAUAGAUAGUGUGGAAAAAAGAGGGCAUGAAAUAGUUGACAUGUAUAUUGUUUAACUAAAACGGAUAGCAUGACAUAAUUUCACAUAUAUGAUGUCUAUCUAAACUGGAUAGCAUAGCAUAACAUAAUUCAAAGAUAUGAUGAAUAACUAAAGAGGAUCGCAUGACAUAAUUCACCUACAUGUUAUCUAAGUAAUCAGGAUCGCAUCAUUUAAUUCACAUAUGUGAUUUAUAUGCUAAACAGAGGGCAUUAGAUAUGAUGUCUGAACUAAGAACAUGGUGUUGAAUAUUGUGUAUAUGAUGUCUAAACUAUGCAAUGCAAGACACCAUAUGCAUGAUAUGAGCAGUAUAACCGUACCAAGUUAGAGCAUACACCUCGGUGGGGGAAUAGGACUGGUCAUCUGUCUCUGAAUCCAUCUCUGAGGAGCUAUCGGGAGCCAACAAGAGAUCUGCUUCGACAGGUAGCACUGUCUGCUCUGAAGGCCUUGUUUUCACUCCAGAUUUUUCAAUCUCCUACCCAAAUGGCUGAUUCACAAGAAGAGUAGUUUAAUGUACAAACAUUGUCGACAAAUGGAAAUGUAAUGAAGAAAAGGAUGGGCAAGAUAUCAUUCAAAUAUAUGAUGCCUGGUUAAACAAGAUGGCAUUCACAUUUCACAUAUAUUAUGGCUAGCUAAAAGACAUGAGACUGCAUAAUUCUCAUAUAUGAUAUAGAAACUAAACAGGUGGCAUUACAGAACAUGUCUAAACUAAGCAGAUGACAUAUAUGAUGUCAAAAGUAGGCACUGCAAGGCAACAUAUGCAUGAUAUGACUAACAUCAUCAUGCCAAGGUAGAGCAAACACCUUGGGGGGUAAAUAGGAGUGGUCAGCGGUGUCUGAAUCUGCCUCAGAACAGAUAUCUUCCUCUGGAUUACAAUCUGGAGAGGGGUGGGGAGGGUUUGCCAUUGAACCCACCAUGGAGCGAUGUCUGCAUGACAUUGUAUUGCCGCGCAAAACUCUUCUCUUUUUCUCUACAUGUUCAGCAUGACUGUGUACAAUAUCUGACAUGCAUACGAAAAAAUAUGGUGAGAUUAUGUAAGGAGAGCAUGCAAAAAUUAGAGUGAUGGUAACAACCAGUGGAUGGAUCCAAAAAUAAUAAUAGCAGGCUGAUGAUUGCUUUAAUUUAAUAAAAAGAUAGAUGAUGAUUGCUUUACUAUUUGUUUCCCACCCAAGAUAAACAACAUAGGCAUACCCUAGGUGAACCAGAUAUUAGAUAGAGAUACUAUUCAUUGCUUCCUCGAUAUGUGCCCCACAACCAAUUUAGAACUCAAGUUUGAACAUUAAUUUGGACCUGACUUGGAGUCCAAGAGGUGAACAGGACGAUAAAGUAGCAGGUAAUUUUAAGCAAUGCAUAACAUAAGCAGAAACAAAAGAGUGCGACCUCUCUUGUGGACCCGUGUACUCCUCAGGUUCAUUUGCUGAGUCGUUGAUGGUGAUGCCGUUGCGGUGGGUGCCGGCGGCAGGGAAGGAGAUCUGAGGCGGCGAAAGACGGUCAGGAGUCGUGAUGUCUGGUUUGGUGGAUGUUUCUGUCGAUAGAGCAGCUCAGUGGAGGUGGACAACAUCGUGGCAGGAGCAGGACAAACCACACAAAGUUCCCUUUGACACCUACCUGUAACUGAAGUAAUUCUUUAAGGGCUCAUUUGGUUUGCAUGACUCUAAAAACGCAGGGAUAGGAAAAACACCGGAAUAGGAUAGGAAUGCACAUGGUAAAUAGAGCAUUUGUAAACACAGGAUUUCUGUCAACUUGAGUGUUUGGUUUACAGGAAUUGGAAGAGCAGAGGAAUGCAAAGAAACAUGGCCAAAAUAAAGUGAAACCAUAUGAAAGCAUGUACAGUUAGAAUGUUAUUCUGCCACUAAUGCACUUGGUCUUGUUUUCAUGCAUAGGAUUUUGAAAAGUAGGUUGAGGUGGAUGUUUUGCUUCAUUUCUUUCAACAAAAUGCAUGAAUAAUUGAAUAGUAGAGUGCCAUUGGAAAAUUCCCUAUUGCUAUGUUUUUCCGUUGAACCAAAAUAGCCCUAAUGGAUCGACAUGAAUGUAUAGUAAUAAGUGAUGCAACAAGUGUACAACCUCUUUGCCGUAGCCGUGUCGACCUCAACAUCAUUGGGUUGGUCGCUGAAGCAGUUGAGGCAGAGGUGGCUGUCGGAGGUGUGGAGGAAGAUCUGAGGAAUCUGUAGACGGCAUCCAGGGCACUGCUCUGUUGUGAUGGAUCGUUCUGUCGUUGGAGCAGCCCCGGUGAGCCGUAAGACGUCAAGGCUGAAGCAGCACAAGAUAGACAUCGUCAAUAUCAAGUGGGAUUCUAAUAGCAUCUCCAAUAGAUGAUGUAAAAUAGAUGUAAAAUUUACAUCACCAAAAACCACCUGACUACAACAGAUGAGGUAAAAACUGUUGACUCUGAACUUAACUGUCGAAACUGAAAUUUACCGUGAAAUCUGAAUGUUACUAUCGAAACUGAACGCAAUGGUAGCAGAGAGGCACUUGACAUGUAGUUUAGGGAGGGCCUGCAGUUCAUCUUCAACCUGCACCCCCCUGAGCCGCCAGCCACCACCGGCCGAACCGCCGGCCCUAGCGCCGCCUUGCCGCCCCGAAACAACUCCCCACCGCCGGUCCGCCGCCGCCCCGACCAGCCCUAUAGGCCCCCGCCCCCACCCUGAACCCUAAGAUAGAUAGUGGGGUACCUCUCCGGCGAGCCCCCGUCCCCGCUAGGAGUGGUUCUUCCUUAACUCCGGCGAGCCCCCCCCCGCCCCCUGAAAAUCGACUGACCCAAAAGUCGAUUCAGUCGACUGAAGUGUAGCUAAAUCGGAGCAGAGCAGCAACACGAGCCAGGGGGAGAGCAGCAGCAGCAGCGCGAGCGAGCGAGAGCCGGAGCAGCAGCAGCUGGGCGAGCGAGCGAUCGAUCGAGAGCCGGAGCAACAACAGUAGCGCGAGCAAGCGAGCGAGAGCCGGAGCAGCAGCAGCAGAUCCGGCUGGUAUGGCCGCCGCCGCCGAAGGGGCCUCGCACCGGGGGAGAGCCGCCGUGGAGAUGUCGCCCGCGGGACCGGCUUCAAGGUAGCCACUCCGUGGGGGUGCGGGAUGGAGCACCGUCGGCACCGGGAGGUCGAGCUAAGGAGAAGGUGCGAUGCGAUGAGUGUACAACCUCUUUGGUGGCGCCGAGUAGGCCUUGGCUUCGUCCGAGGAGUCGGUGAGGAUGCUGCGGUAUCGUUGGAGCAGGUUAAGGCGGCGCUGUGGGGAUGGAGCAGCCGUGAUAGACGAGGCGAUCGUCGGAGCAGCUCCUUGGAGGUGGAGGACGGGGCGGCUGAACCGGCGGGACGACGGGAUGGACGACGGAUCCUCAUCCGGGGAGGUGGACGAGGGACGUCGAGCUGUUGCGGUGGACGAUGUCGUCGGGGAAGAGGCUCCGGCUGGGCAGCGGUGAGGUGGCGGACGGAGGAGGGUGGGGUUUCGCUGCUGGAGCAGAGAGGUUAUGGCGGCCUGGGAUUUCGAAUGGCAACAAGGAGGCGAUGGGAGGGGGUGAACCAUGACUUAGGGACGCUGAAAGAACAUGCGGUGCCCCCAUGUUUGGUUUUGGUAAUUGAUGACAAUCUCUAUGGACUAAUGGUUGCCUUGAGUUAUAUUUGAAGGAUUUGUCCAUAGGCAUUUCUUGAAGUCCAUGUGUUGGUUUCAAGGAGUUUAUGUGGUGACCAAGGUGUUAUUAAGGAAUUAUCCAAAGAUUGGUCAUGUGAGAGUAGAACUUAUUGCAAGCAUGUCUUGAAGAAGAAGAUUGUGUGAUCAUUCAUGUUUACCUUCAAGACAUCAUCCAAAUGAAGAGAGUUGGAAAGAGUCAAGGUUGAUCAAGACUAAGUCAAGAGUGAAUCAAGUUGAUCAACACACAAAGCGCACAAGAUGUACCGAGAGGGAUCAAGCGAUCCCAAGGUGUGGUAAGCAUUGUCGAUUACGCUUUGUGUACUAACCCAUGAUCUUCGUGAGAGUUCUUUGUGGGGUUAGGUUGCGGUGUGCAAGUUCAAGUGAAGCAUCAUGAAGAGAUCAAAUGCUUGAAGCUUGCCGUCCAUUGUGGCGACAAUGGACUUGUGAAGAUGUUGCAGUGCGCAAGUUCAAGUGAAGCAUCAUGACGAGAUCAAAUGCUUGAAGCUUGCCGUCCAUUGUGGUGACAAUGGACUGGUGAAGAUGUGCGGAAGAGUGGCUCACCCAUAGUGGAGUAUGGGGGAGCAAUCAACUAGUCUUCAUCGAGCCAACACAACCAGGAAAGGUGGUCCAACUUGAGGGAGUCAAGAUCGUCAUCAUCUAGCUCAAGUGGACCAUGUGCAAGGCAAAGGUUUGCUCUUGAUAGGUUUUCUAUUUUACCGGUCUCAUGAUGGUAGUUGGGAUACCGGGUUAUAGGAUCGAUUGCCGUACUAUCAAGGGGGGCUCUCGAUGAGUAGCUUGAUCGUAUCGUUCAUAGAGAGCUCAAACCAUUGCAUCCUUGCAUCAUCUUUGUUGGUUCUUGUUUGGUUCUUCUCUUUGUGAGUUUUGGAGCUUAUGGUCAUCUUGAUGACAAGCUCGAGUUCAUCGAAAACGGAGUUCACUCGCAUCUUCUAUGAUGUUUUCGAUGUUGGAGGUUAUGCCGGUUCUUCUCGGUUGGAGGUUUCACUCCUUAUUUUUUGGCAUACCUCCCCUGCCUCUUCUCUGUUUUGAUGCUACUCGUCUUUCUCAAUCCAACAAGCUUGAGUUUGCUCAAUUCGGAGCUCAUAUGCAGAAGUUAUGGCAGUUUUGGUUUCCUAGCGGUAGUACCGCGGCCAGAGCGGCAGUACCGCUUAUCACCCCAAGCGGUAGUACCGCUGUCCAAAGUGGUAGUACCGCCUAUGGCCAUAAGCGGUAGUACGGCUACGGUUCCGCGCUGGUACCGCCUCGAUUUUGGGUCUUGCAUUUUUCGUGUCGAGUUUUGCAGUAGUUGCACGACAGUAAGGCACGACAGUUCCACCUAUAAGCGGUAGUACCGCCUAUAAGCGGUAGUACCGCUCCGGUCGGGCGGUAGUACCGCUACUGUUUUUUUGUUCCCGUGUUCUGCUCCUCCAGCGGUAGUACCGCUGGGGUGCGCGGUAGUACCGCUUAUAAGCGGUACUACCGCCCCAAGGUUCAUGUUUGGUUGCUCCUUUUCCCUGCUUCUUCCGCCAGAGCGGUAGUACCGCUCGUGGAGCGGUAGUACCGCUCGCGUGCGGGCUGAGCACAUAAUGGUUGGAUUUUCCCCCUUCUAUAAAAGGGGGUCUUCUUCCCCAAUGAACCUUAUCUUUUGAGCUUGUGUUCUUCCCCCAUUGUUGACCUUCUUCGAGCUUACUAACUCUCAAUCCCUCCAUGGAUUCUUGCUUGUUUUUGAGGGAAAAGAGAGAGGAGAUCUAGAUCCACAUUUCCACCAAUCACUUUCUCCUCUUUGUGAGGGGAACCCCUUGGAUCUAGAUCUUGGAGUUCUUGGUGUUCUCCUUCUUGUUCUUCCUCUCAUUUUCCUCCCUAGCAUUAGUUGCUUCGGUGGGAUUUGAGAGAGAAGGACUUGGGCACUCCGUGUGCCCUUGCCAUUGCAUUUGGUGCAUCAGUUUGAGUUCUCCACGGUGAUACGUGGAAGUUACAAGUUGAGAAGCUUAUUACUCUUGGGUGCUUGGUGCCCUUGAGCUUGUUCCUCUUGGGUGCUUGGGCGCCCUAGACAGUUGGUGGUGUUCGGAGCUCAAUAAUUGUGGUGUAAAGAUCCGGGCAAGCGUCGGGGUCUCCAAUUAGGUUGUGGAGAUCGCCCCGAGCAAUUUGACGGGUACCGGUGACCGCCCCCAAGGGUUGCCAAAGUGUACGGGUUCGGUGACCGCCCCCCAAGGGUUGCCAUUUGUACGGGUUCGGUGACCGCCCUCAAGGGUCCCUUAGUGGAAUCACGGCAUCUUGCAUUGUGCCAGGGCGUGAGGAGAUUACGGUGGCCCUAGUGGCUUCUUGGGGAGCAUUGUGCCUCCACACCGCUCCAAAUGGAGAUUAGCAUCCGCAAGGGUGUGAACUUCGGGAUACAUCGUCGUCUACGCGUGUCUCGGUUAUCUCUUACCCGAACCCUUUACUUAUGCACUUUACUUUGUGAUAGCCAUAUUGUUUCUUGUCAUAUAUCUUGCUAUCACUUAUUUGUUUAUCUUGCUUAGCAUAAGUCGUUGGUGCACAUAGGUGAGCCUAGUUGUUGUAGGUUUUGUGCUUGUCAAAUUAACCGCUAGGUUUAUUCCGCAUUUGUUCAAGCCUAAACCGUAAUUAUUUUAAAACGCCUAUUCACCCCCCCUCUAGGCGACAUCCACGAUCUUUCAGACGCGCUUGUCCAAAAUGUAGGGUGUGUUACAAAAGUACCCCCCCCCCACCAAUUUGAACUAGCGGCCCUUUCGGCUCAGGGUUAGAAGGGGGAUUUUGCGUGUCGGGAUUUGGCAGCUGGAGGGAGCUUUCACGCGCGUUGUAAUUUCGGGAUAGCAAGGUGCGGGUUGUGAAGGCACCAGUUUUGGGAGCACGAUAUUUGAAUUUUUGGGAUCUAACAAGGUGCGGGUUGAAUUUUAGGGACAAGCCUAACGUGUAAUAUUGUACUUGUACAUACCAAAUCAAUUCGCACUUCCCUCAAACAGAAAGAAAACGAAAAAAAUAAAGCUAUUCACACCACACAAAGAGAGAGUCUUGCCCCGUUUUACUAUAAAAAUGCUAUUCAAAGCUACUCCCUCCUUCCAUCUAUAUAGGGCCUAAUGCGUUUUUCGAUGCUAACUUUGACCAAAUAUUAGAGCAAUAAUAUAUGACAUGCAACUUACACAAAGCACACCGUUAAAUUCGUCUGUGAAAGGUUCUUUCAAUGAUAUAAUUUUCACAUUGUGCAUGUCAUGUACUAUUAAUCUUGUCAAUAGUCAAAGGCGGUCUUAAAAAAACUCAUUACGCCCUAUAUAGAUGGAAGGAGGGAGUAUGAAUCCAUGUUAUGUCCAAUUAAAUUUUUUCGCUUGCUGUAUAAUGCAUGUAACCUACUCAUACCAACAUUUUAGUGCAUUCCAAAUGUCUAUACUACCGCUGCAAUUCGAACUGAAUUUGAAUUCGUUUCUCUAUUUCAAUAAGAAUCUACAAUCAUGAUUGUUGCCAACUUCAACCAUCAUUCGUGUAUUACCUUAAUAACACACCACAUGAUUACUAUAGAGAUAGAUAUGAACUAUGUGUACUACAUGAACUCGAAUUCUAUUUUUUGAAUACACUUGAUGUUGAUUCCAAAUAAUAGUACAUUUGAUGUACUAACUAUAUAUUCAUAAUCUAAACCAUGUUCCAUACAUGUACACCGUGUUUAUCACACAUAGUAUAGUGCCCCGCCCCCUACAUUAUGACAAGUAUUUAGACCUGAGCUGCAAAAGCCACACAUUAGCCCAAAUUAUGAUCAACGUUCUAUAUAUUAUACGUAGUACUAGCAAGAUGCCCAUGCGUCCCACAGAACAUCAACAUAAUCAAGGGGAGGCCUAAUUUGCAAAUAUGGAGAGGGGUGUGGGUAUCUUUUUCCAAAAUUGCCAUAGUUUCCUUCCUAUCCGUCAGAUAUAAAUCGGACGGCCUAUAUUGCAGGAUGGCAGGCACACCAUCAUCAACAACUCCGUUUUUGUAUAAGAGUAGAGAUAAAAUAUAUUAUAUGUAGUAUAACAUGUUCAUAACCACACCAUGUGUAUCACCGUUAUAUAUAUUCACACAUGCGUCGGUUUAAAACACUAUGAUAAAUUCUUCAAAUAACUGAAUUCGCUUUUUAUAAUGAAGUAUGAUCUCUAUUCGUCUUUUACACCCACACAAUCCUCUUAUCUUUGUAGCUAGCUAGCGCUAACUUUCUCUCAUGCAUGCACAUGCCCGCAUCCCUCUCACCCUCCCUCAGCAUUCUCUAGCUCCAUCGCGCAAAUUCGUCUUUUCACUUUAGGUCGUUCACCCACGGUGUGUGUAGGCCCCCAACUCCUUCUUUACGGCACACAUCGAUCGAUAUGCCUCUCUAGCCAGGUGUGCCUAACACAAAACACAAGCUUCCCCUCUUCUCUUAUCACCGUCCAUGCCUCACCCCUACCACUCUUUUCAUCGAUCUCGUACUCGCACACUCCUCCCCCCGAUAUAGUAUGGCUCUCGCACCACUUUCUAGAUGCAUCCCUCUCUCUCUAUCCUUCUCCCCGUGCCUCAUUUGCUUCUAACACACACAUGCAUGCAUACCGAUCGAUCUCCCAACAUAUACCUAGGUCGACUUUAACUAUUCGCCCCCCAUCGAUCGACGUACCUCACAAGUUAUGUCUCUCCUUUCUCUGACAAAGGACGAUUGAUCUUCCUAUUUAGUUAUGUCUGCUUACCACAGCCAUAUCGCCCCCUCAUCAUUCGUGCAUGCCUCUUGACCCGUCUCUCACAUGCACAUGCACAGACAGGCAGCCAUCCCCUCUCUUAUUUAUAUUGCAGGCGUGCCCUCCAGUUGUCUAGCAAGCCUAUCCCACCAUUUGUUAGAAGCAACUCCACUACCACCCCCUCCAACACUCUAGCUCUGUCUCUCUCCCAACCUUAUUCCUCUCCUACACAUAUGCAUGGAUGCCGAUCGAUCUCCCUUAAUACAUGAGGUGGAUCGAUCUCCCUUAAUACAUGAGGUAGGCCUCUCUCCUCCUCCACACAUAUACCAGCCAUUGUACCUCUAGAGUUAAUUAGGCCUCCCUCCCCCCUGUCGGUGUCAAAGCCGGCGGAUCUCGGGUAGGGGGUCCCAAACUGUGCGUCUAGGAUCGAUGGUUACAGGAGACGGGGGACACGAUGUUUACCCAGGUUUGGGCCCUCUCUAUGGAGGUAAUACCCUACUUCCUGCUUGAUUGAUCUUGAUGAAUAUGAGUGUUACAAGAGUUGAUCUACCAUGAGAUCGUAGUGGCUAAACCCGAGAAGUCUAGCCUGUAUGACUAUGAGUAAUGAGUAUAUCCUUUCCGGACUACACCCUCCGGUUUAUAUAGACACCGGGGGAAUCUAGGGUUACAUAGAGUCGGUUACAUAGGAUGGAAUCUUCAUAGUUGAUUGCCAAGCUUGCCUUCCACGCCAAGGAGAGCCCUAUCCGGGCACGGGUACAGUCUUCGGCCUUCACGUCUUCACAGCCCAUCAGUCCGGCCCAUGGAUAACAGGCCGGACGCCCGAGGACCCCUUAGUCCAGGACUCCCUCAGUAGCCCCUGAACCAGGCUUCGAUGACGAGGAGUCCGGCGCGUAGAUUGUCUUCGGCAUUGCAAGGCGGGUUCCCCUUUCCGAACCCCAAGAUAGUCUUCAGAUGUAAUGAUUGUAUCCAGACCUGUAUACACAACUACAGAGGAUAUAAUAUUUCACGAGUUCAAUCCACCGACAACUUUUUGGUAAUAUGACAUCACGCCUGCUCGGCCAUUAUUUUCGAAGCGUUAGCUGGCCCGUCGUCCCAUGUCUCAAUACGUGGUUUUAUUGGCACGUCUUAUCCAAGCGGAGAUCGUGUCUCCCCUUUUUUUGGGGGGGAUUCUUGCCAACCCGGACGUGGGUAACCCAACCAUCGCUUGGGUACAACUCCUUGGGAAUAGGCAAGUCUUGAGGCCCAGGAGGAGAUGUUUGAUAUUCGUAGCCUUUAUAUAGGGGUACAGACCCGUCUUUUUCUUUCACGCUCGCUUCUUCCUCAACCCUUGCUACCUCGAGUUCUAGCACUCGGGUUUCAGUUGCCACAAGCCCCAAUCAUGUACGGAUCCAGCCAUCAAGGCCGGUGGGUAGCUUCUUUUGUCACGGAGGGAGAUAUUGCAAAGCUUCGGGCGGCGAGGUAUCUGACCGCAGAAAUUCAUCAUCGGCUUCCUGCCGAGGGGCAGGUUAUUCCCACCCCCAGAUCCGGCGAGAGGGUCGUGUUCGUGUCCCACUUCCUCCGCGGGUUAGCGUUUGCACUUAAUCCCUUCGUCUGAGGGCUCAUGUUCUAUUACGGGCUAGAUUUUCAUGAUCUGGCCCCGGACUCUAUUCUUCUUAUCUCGGCGUUUAUCUUCACGUGCGAAGCCUUCCUCCGAACUCCUCCGCACUUCGGCUUGUGGCUCAAGACCUUCGAUGUGAAGCUGCAAGUGAUAGAGGGGGAGCUAGCUGAGUGCGGUGGUGCUACAGUGAGCAAGCUUUCCAGCGCUGUUUGGCUGAAAGGAUCCUUCGUCAAAUCUUUUGAUUUAUGGCAGCAGGGGUGGUUCUAUAUCACCGAGCCCCGCGGCUCCAAGUGGGCAGCGGCGCCUGCAUUUCGAUCCAGCCCCCCAAUUCAGCUUGCAUCAUGGAUUAAUAAGGGGUUGGACUAGGGAUCAACGGACGUGGUGCGAACUCUGCAAAGUUGCAUCCGAAGCCUCAUUGAGAGGGACAUCAAUAUCGUCAACGUUGUUCAAGUAAUGCUAGUCCGUCGGACCCUGCCGUGCCAGCGACGGCCUCUCCGCCUGUGGGAGUUCAAUCCAGAAGGGCCACAGACUCUUCAGCACUGCUUCGGCACUACGCACGAAGGAAUGUGGAGAUUAUUCUUCGGGAAACGAAGGCAAUGGCCGGACACCACCGAAUAUGUCGGCCUAGACUGUAAUCAUCCGGAUACCCCGGUAAGCACCCGUUUGCCGAAUACCUCAUAAUCAGAUACCCAGUGGCCAGAUACUGACCGAAUCAUCCUUUUUCAGGGCUAGAUAAAGAAGGUGGAACGGAUUAGGUGUCCGGCUCCCCUUCCCGAAGACUCAGCUAAUCCUGUGCUAACAAGGAUGCUGGCCUCGGCACCAUAUCAGGCGCCGACAAGGGAGGGCAAAGAGGAUAGCGAAAAGACCCGGGAUGACCUUUGUUCCGGAAGUAAGUCGGAUACUGAGUCUGAAGAAAUCGACCUUUCCUCGCCUGAAGAUAGAGGCGAAAGAGGAGCCAGCAUCCCUUCUCCGAGUAGGAGGAAAAGGGCCGCCUCCAAAGGUUGGGAGGGCGAUCCCCCAAAAGGGGCAAGAUGCCACCGUUGAGCGGCUUGGGUUUGGAAAGUGACGCCGUUGAACAGCUCCGACAAGGGGACAAGCCCUCGGCCAAACCGUAAGUGAAUCUGGAAUACUUUGAUAGCAUCCCGCUCCUUUGCCGUUACCGAAGAUAUACGUAACGCGUCCGUGCAUUUUUACAGGUCGGCGCAGAGUGUUUCUGGGCAAUCCUCUUCUUCGGGAGGUCUCCUCCCAGAGAUGAUGGAGAGCGAGAUGCCUCCCCCAACCUCCUCACCCAAUAAGGCAGACGACUCUGAAGUGUCGUCGCGGAGGGUUCUUCUUAAUCAACAAGUUACGCAGGGGAUAAAAGAGGCAGUACCCGAAGGUGGAUCUCCGAUCGUCCGAGAUUCUGGGGCUGAUAAUAAAGGCCUCGGACUGUCUGGCUCGCAGCCGACGGUGAUUCUGGAGACGGGUGAACAGAUUCCUUCAAAGGAUGGCGGUGCUCCUAGAGCGGCUUCCGGAGACCCGGAGGCUCCGGAUAUAUUGCGAGACAUGUUGCGAAAAGCAUCUGUCUCGGGAGAACAGCGUACCUUGAUGGGUAAAGUGGUUGAGAAGAUUUUGUCCGCGAAGAGCGGAUUGAAUGAAGCCUUCAUGAGCCUGCUAAAAGGCCUCGAGGUUUGUGAUAUAAUAUUUUCAGCUAUGUUUUAUUUGCAAAGAUGCACCUGUGUAUAGGUAGUAGCCCCUGAGACUCGGGUUGGCUUCCACUGGGAGGCGAAUUGGAGGAUCAAAAAGGAUUACUCAAGGACUGAUCUGAUGAACUGGAAUGCAGGUUGUUUCCCCCUUAGCUACUUCCCAGACUAUGGAUAUUGCCGAGCUGCAGCGGAAGCUUGAUGUAGCAGGGGAUGACCUUGCGUUAAUCAAUAUGCAUCUUGACGAGUCGCAAGGUAUGUAUUUGGGGCAAUCCCCAUACAUUUUUUGUGGUAUAAGCAUGAUGCUAAAAUCUGUAUGCUGGAAUAUGCGUGGCUGCAGAUGGUGCUGCCGCCGUUGAAGUUCUUUGAGCGGAGCUGGCCUGGGCCAAGGAGCAGGCCCGGUGUAGCAAUGCGGCUGCCGAAAAGGCAUCAGCUGAGUUAAAAGCCGAACAAGCUGCACGACGCCAAGACGAGGAGAAGAUAUCCACGAUGACGCUCGAACUAGAGAAUGCUACUGGCCGCUGUGCAUUUCUGGAGAAGGAGAGUAAAGCCUUAACGGCUGAACUGGACAAGGCCUUACAAGAGGAGAGAGAAGCUCGGUCAGAAUCCAAAGCAACCCGUGAGGAGAUCCGGCAAGCUAGGGAUAUUGUGGCUGGUAAGCCAUUUCUGCUGCAAGCUAAGUUCGGUGAUCCGAACUAUGCUCAGCUUAACCAAGUGUGGAGCUCUCUGGACGAGUUUUUAGACCUGCCGAAGAGUUCUUCCGAUGCGGCGCAGUAUUACCAAGCGCGAGAUGCGUGUGCAACGGAGAAGCUUUUUUGGUCGCAGUUUGGCACAUCAAAGCGCCCUCUGUUGCUCAAUGAACAGAUGUCCCAAUGGGCCGAACUUCAUAGGUGCCAUGAAGAACAUCAUAAUCCGGUUGUGGCCAACCGAGCCUAUUCCGAAUAGCUACUUCGGUUUGGUGCAAAGGCUUGUUGACACGGUGCCGCGUAUCGACGCUGUGAAGCGAUUGGCAUGUAUUGAGGGUGCACGGAUGGCUUUUGCCCGAGUCAAGACAUUCUGGAGGAAGAUGAAGGUCAUAAAUGUUGCGGCAAAGAGUCCACCCAAGGGCAAGGACCGUCCUGAACCGGAGCAUUAUUUUGAAGACGUCCUGGAGGCCGCCCGCUUGAUAGAGGGUCAGUGCUCGAAAAACAUAAUGUUCGAGUGAGGUGUAUGAGAAUUGUAAAAGGCCAUUUUAUAGUUGAUCUAUUUUAUGUUUUGCUUGAAAGCUUGAAUUCCUCCUGUGCGGCCGUUUUAAUAUAAUCUGAAAGUUUUCUAGUCAUCGGCUUCAGCCCCCUCGUAGGAAGUACGGGGGUGUUCCGAAAAGCAUUUAAUCACUCUUUAUCCAACGUCUUGGUCCAUAAAGGAGGUGAUAAUGCGGCGAACUAGGCAAUCGGACUAUAGGGCGUUAACACUUUCACUUAGCCAUAGGAGUUUUAUGGUGGGACUACGACCUAGCCCCUGGUAUGUAUGCGGCGUAUGGUGCCUUACAUAUUUGAUCUGAAAAAGAUCCUUUGUGUGACAUGGAGAAUCGCUAAAGAUUCCAAUAAGUCGUCAAGUGGUUGACCAGCUCUCGCCGCAUCAUGACAGUCAGUUUUUGGCUUUCUCUACUGAGGUACUUGACCAGAUGAACCGGAAGCACAAUCGCAGUAGUUCUCCCUUUACUACCCUAGCCGAUAGAGCGGAACGUAGGGUAGCAAGCACAGGAGCCGGGCAACACAACUAUUGACCCAAGACAAUGAUUCGGAGCUAAUUCAUAUAUGGCCAAACUUGCGACGCCGAAGUACGCUGUAGAGCUGUUCGGGCUUUUGCUCGCAACUCAUUUGUUCCCAUAUCGAGCCCCUGGCAGGUUAUAACAAGGUAUAUAUGUGAGACAACCAUGGGAGUCGUAUUCAGUGGCGAAACAACACGGAUGAUUAAUUCGGAUAUUGUUUACUGGGAGCUGAGCGAUAUACCAAUGAUUACUUAUUAUAUAUAAAAGCCAUCCUCCCGGUUAUUUGACAUGCUCAGGGUCGGAGGUGGAGGAACAGGCAUAGUACAGGCUCAAAAUAGAGAGUGCGGUCUACAAAAAGUUAUUUUGGACCUCCUGUCGCACGUCUGCACCGCCAGUCCUCGGCGGGGGGAAUCCUUGAUGGAAAUAGCCCCUUAGGUGAGUGUACGGAUCCGGACUCCGAUAGCGCCAGUUUCAGAUGUUUGUCCUGUUCGUCACCUGUUUUUAAGGGAUAGUGAAGGAAGAAAUAAAAAGAAAAAUGGAUAAAAAAUGUUACGGGGGUGCUUGCAGGCUUGUCCGUAGUGUGCUUCCGCCAAUGCCCAUGGAUCUUGAGUGCAUAGUGAUGUAUGCGCGGCACAAAUUUUGCAGGUGUACGAGGUGGGCGGCGGAAGCCGGACUGCUAUUUUCGCUCCGGGAGUAGUUGAUCCUCGGGUGGAAAUUGCUUCUGGCCCCCGGUAUUUCGUUGGUGAACCUCUCCGUCGUCCCUGUCGCCUGGCGGCCUCUUCCCCUUGUGUUCGGCGUUGAGCUUGCCGGCCUGUUUAAAGACCCAGCAGUUUCUAUUAGUAUGAUUAGCUGGUUUGUCGGGGUGGCCAUGAAUCUGGCAGGGUCGGUCCAAUAUCCUGUCUAGGUUGGAUGGUUCGUCUCGGUUUGCCUUGAAUGGCUUCUUCCGUUGACCAGGCUUAGGGUUGCUGAAUCCGGCGUUGACCGCUGUGUCGCGUGAUAUUUCAUUAUCAUUGCGACUGUUGUGUUUGCUUCGUCAUGGCUUGCCGUUGCCAUCUCGGAUUUCGGAAGUGCCCGGGUCGCUGGCGAUGUGGCUUCUACGAGCGAGCCAGUUGUCUUCUCCCGCGCAAAAGCGGGUCAUUAGAGCAAUAAGGGCUGUCAUGGAUUUAGGUCCUUCUUGUCCGAGGUGGCGUGCUAGCCAUUCGUCCCGGACGCUGUGUCUGAAGGCCGCAAGGGAUUCCACGUCCGGACAGUCGAUGAUUUGGUUCUUUUUGACUAAGAACCGAGUCCGGAGCUUCCUGGCUGACUCUCCGGGCUGCUCGACAAUGUGGCUUAGGUCAUCGGCGUCUGGUGGCCGGACAUAUGUUCCUUGGAAGUUGUCAAGGAAGGCUUCUUCCAAGUCUUCCCAGCUGCCUAUGGAAUUUUCAGGCAGGCUGUUUAGCCAGUGCCGAGCUGGCCCUUUUAGCUUUAGUGGGAGGUAUUUGAUGGCAUGGAGGUCGUCUCCACGCGCCAUAUGGUUGUGGAGGAUAAAAUCUUCUAUCCAUACCGCGGGAACGGUUGUUCCGUUGUAUGAUUCAAUAUUGACGGGUUUGAAUCCGUCGGGGAAUUCAUGAUCCAUUACUUCAUCAGUGAAGCAAAGAGGGUGUGCGUCGCCUCUAUGUUGGGCCACACUGUGACGUAACUUCGAAGGAGCCCAUUUGUGGUUUUCGUCUUGGGCGUGGCUAGGUUUGUCACGUCCGAAUAGGUAGCCCUUGUCGUGUGUCGAGGCAUGCCCUCGCGAUCCAUAGAUCGAUCUUGCGUGUCCUGCUCUACUAUCCGAGUCCCGUCGGAGGUCGUCAGUACAGCCAUGAGCUGUGUUAUUCUUGUCUUUGCGAUGACGUGGGGCGGUCUGGUAUUCGGCUUGAGUUGCCUCUUUAUCUAGACAGAGUUGUCGACGACCUGCCGCAUUGUGUGAUGAUGGUACAGGCCCCAACGCCUCGUCAUCAGACUGAGGUAGCGAUAUAUGCUUCGGGUAGCUUUUGGCUGGGCCACUAAGGCCGUAUUCUUCGGCAGCCAGGACUUCGGUCCAUCUGUCGUUGAGUAGGUCUUGGUCAGCUUGAAGCUGCUGCUGCUUCUUUUCAGGCUCCUCGCAGUAGCUAUUAGCCUGCGCUUGAAGCGCUCCUGCUCGAGGGGUUCUUCAGGUACGAUGAAGUCUUCGUCGCCGAGGCUUACCUCGUCUUCGGAGGGUGGAAGGUAGUUGUUGUCCUCCGAAUUGUUGCUGGGCAGGGCCUGUUCAUCGGGGCUGGCUUGCCUGUUUUCUUGUUCCUCCUGUUUGGAUCUUGCUCCAACAGGGUCUUCAUUGUUUUUGGCGUCGUCCGGAGAACUAUUUUCUCCGGUGCCAGCGUUGCUGCGAUAUGACUUAGCGCGGUGUUUAGGGCACCGGUGCUUAGACUGUGUCUCAGGAGAUUUAUUCUCGACUGGAUCUUCUUUGUCAUCAUCGCUAGGUUUUUUAGGUGUAUCAACCAUGCACACGUCGUACGAAGAGGCGGCCGUUCCACGUCCCGUGAAUGGCGGGUCUUGGCCUUGCUCCUUAUAGGCAUCGUCGUCUACACCGUCGAUGUCUUCGGAGCCAUAAUCAAGCGUGUCGGUUAAGUCCUCGACAGUGGCUAUGAAGUGGGUGGCGGGUGGGAAGCGAAAUUCUCCAUUAUCAGCCCCUAGCUCGAACCAGACACAGUUCGGCUGUGAGUCCCCUGCCAAGGACAGGUUUUUUUAAUGAAUUUAGAAUGUCGCCCAAGGGCGAGUGUUCAAAGAUAUCUGCAGCGCUGAACUCGAAGAUCGAUAACCAAUCCAGCUCUGCGCCCGCAGGCGUGUGUGGUUCGGAACUUAUAGCUGGAGACGAGUCCGGAAUUCCGUUGACGCAGAUAUCCCCAGGUGUUGAGUCUGUGUGCAGCUCCAACACCGCGGACUCUAUGGCGUCGGAUGGUGCAAUCUGCUCCGAAUCUAAGGCCAUAGUUGUUACGGGAACCAUCUCCUAAAUCUGGUCCGAUGACAGAUUUAAGUCAUGUUCAUCGGAGUGAGGGGGAGCGAUCGUCGUGGUCUCAAAUUCGUUGAGGAUCAAGUCUCCACGGAUAUCCGCGACAUAGUUCAAGCUUCCAAAUCUGACCUGGUGGCCAGGGGCGUAGCUAUCGAUCUGCUCCGAGUGGACAAGCGAGUUGGCCCGCAGUACAAAGCCGCCGAAUACGAAAAUCUGUCUGGGGAGGAAGGUUUCUCCUUGGACGGCGUCACUAUAGACGAUCGAAGAGGCCAUCGAACCUUUCGUCGACGACACAGUGGAACUCUCAAUGAAAGCACCAAUGUCGGUGUCAAAACCGGCGGAUCUCGGGUAGGGGGUCCCGAACUGUGCAUCUAUGAUCGAUGGUUACAGGAGACGGGGGACACGAUGUUUACCCAGGUUCAGGCCCUCUCUAUGGAGGUAAUACCCUACUUCCUGCUUGAUUGAUCUUGAUGAAUAUGAGUGUUACAAGAGUUGAUCUACCACGAGAUCGUAGUGGCUAAACCCUAGAAGUCUAGCCUGUAUGACUAUGAGUAAUGAGUAUAUCCUUUCCGGACUACACCCUCCGGUUUAUAUAGACACCAGGGGAAUCUAGGGUUACAUAGAGUCGGUUACAUAGGAUGGAAUCUUCAUAGUUGAUCGCCAAGCUUGCCUUCCACGCCAAGGAGAGCCCUAUCCGGACACGGGUACAGUCUUUGGCCUUCACGUCUUCACAGCCCAUCAGUCCGGCCCAUGGAUAACAGGCCAUACGCCCGAGGACCCCUUAGUCCAGGACUCCCUCACCCCCACCACACACCGAUAGUCGAGCGCUGUAGGUAGGUAUCCAUGCCACAGAGACAAACUGCACAUGUCCCCUCUCACGUUCCAGUAGGCCAACCACUCUAUAUCUUUGACGUGGGCACACACAACUUCGAUGGCACUCUUUAUCGAUCGCGCGCAAGCACACACACACACACAUCAUCCCUCUCUUUGAUUCUAUGGACACCUCAAGCCGAUAAUACCUCCACUCUCUUCUCAUGGAUCGCCCCCUCUAUAUAUAUGAUAUAUCCAGGACUCUAUUUCACACACAUUGCAUAUGUUACAUUUUUUGAUUGACCCCACCCCCCCAGAAAAACUCUCACGAACCCACACACUAUAUAUCUCUACGUUUCUAUCUCUCUCACACAACUCCACGUAGGUGGUGUACAUAUACAAGAAGAGAAUAGGUGCACCGUGCACGUACUCACGCUUCGUGCCCAGCUACACCCGCGCGGAUACACGGUGGAGCUCAUUUCUGUACGAAAUGGCAGCCCACGUGCUAAUUUGAAUGCGUGUAGCGGUUGUUUACCUACGGAGGUCGUGUACCACGCAUGCAUGAGACAAAGUUCGACUUGAUGCAUUGGCGCGUUAUUUUUAAAUAAAGUUAUAUCGCUCAAUGGCACGUACACAGAAUAUAAAAAGAUUUUUAUGGAGAAAAAGGUAGUCCGCUCCACCAUAUACAAUGGAGCCUGCCUGCCUGGUUUGUCUCUCUUCAGAGUAUCUCACACAAGGCUACGGUGGCCUCUCUCUCUCUCUCUCACCGUUGGUCACUGAUCCGGCCGCAUCCCGUCCGCCGGCGGAAAGGGAGGACGUGCAUCGUUUCUCCGUUCGACGGCGCCGAGGUAGCACGUCCCGAUAUGCGGUACACGCCGUUCUCUCUGACCAAGCUCUGGCGUGGUAGGGCCUACGCCACCUGCUCGCUGCCGCAGUAUGGGCAGAUUCCGCCCGCCGCUGCUCACCUAGUUACAUCCCGACGACCUCCAGAUAUCCCCUCCGGCCUUGCUCCACUGCCCGUCUUCCCACGUCGCUGCAUGUGGAUCUUCCAUAGUUCUUUCCCCAAAACACAACCGUAUUGUUAUCUUCCGGCGUACUUUCCAUAUUGCAAUCUCGUCCUCACACCGUUUUAGACAAACACAACCGUGUUGUUAUCUUCCUUUAGGACAAGGAAUAUGCUUCUUUUUUGUCGUCGCAUAUGUCAUCAACUGUUAUUGGCCAGUAAUUGUUUCCUUUCUACCUCUUUUUUUGCAAACAGGGCUAUCCAUUUCACCUCGCUGCUAUUGCGACCUUUUGGUGAACUGCACAAAUCACUUUUUUCUUAAGAGUGUUUUGUGCAGUUCUACCAAAAUGUCACACGGGCAACGUCUCUACAUUUCAGUGCGACUGCACAAAGGGAGAUUGGUUUUGCUCUAUCCUCCUCAUCCAACUCCGAGCCUAAUCUUCUCCAACUAGUUAGUCUUAAGAGAGACUUCAAAGGUGACCGGCUUCUAUUUGUGUGUUUAUUGUUUCAUCAGCUGUCCUCUAUUAUCGUAAUCACACCUAAUAUCUUUGGAACAGGGACGCUCAGCUCUAUUUUAGUGAAACUGCACAAAAUGAUCGGAAUGUUGCAUGCUCCAGACAGCUACUUUUCCCCCAACAUGCCUUGUUGAUUUAGACAGAGCUGGGGGGACGUUGCUGCCAAUAAAAACAUGGAUCAAUUUUAAUUUAACACCUUCUCACAACUUUGUCUUCAGUUGUGAUGUAAAUAUUAGCUCUGAUUAGCAAGGAAGUUAGUUUUUUAUUGUUUCCGAAAGAGCAUCGAUGGCAAGACACACGAAACAAAAGCUGAAAGCUCACACCAUUGUACAAUUUCAUGUCGAUGGAAAAUUAUUUGUAUAGUACAUCAAUUAUGUAAACAAAUGCUGGAAGCUUGAUAGCAUUGCUAGAAGCCUCUUCGGCAUCCGGGUCCAUGUGCCAUGCACAAAAUUAUACUCCUUCGCUCCUAAAUAUUUGUGUUUUUACAAAUUUCAAAUGGGCAUAUUUUAGAGUGUAGAUUCACUCAUUUUGCUUCGUAUGUGUACUCCCUCCGUUCCUAAAUAUUUGUCUUUCUAGAGAUUUCAAAAAGUGACUACAUACGGAGCAAAAUGAGUGAAUCUACACUCUAAAAUAUGUCUAUAUACAUCCGUAUGUAGUAGUCCAUUUGAAUCUCUAAAAAGACAAAUAUUUGAGUAGUCACUCGUUGAAAUCUCUAGAAAGACAAAUACUCCAGAGUAUAUUUAAGAACCGAGGGGGUAGUGCACAGCCGCAUGGGAGACUCAGACCGGUCGUUGCGCCGCAUUAAUAGUGAGUAAUGAGCAGUCAAAUCAUAAGCCCCACCUUUCCCACUGUAAGUUGCUCGGAAGAAGCAACCAUCAAUACGCUCUUCUUUGAAUCCGCUCAUACUACUCCAUCCGUCACUGUUUAUAGAGCGCGCAUCAGAAAAAGAGAAAAUCUCUGGGACCAAGGCGACUAGCGAUCGGCCUAAAAAAUAGCAUUGGUAGUUAUAGCACGACAUCUAUUACUAGAGGAAAUAAUGCGUACACACAUGCAUGCAGUGCUUCCACCCCGGGUACACACAUGCAUGCACUUACUCCACUCCGUAGUACUACAUCGAGAGAAAAUUGCGGUUACCACGCCCUAAUUAAUUGAGCAUUAAACCAAACGCGUCUAAAGUCUCUUUGGUGGUGGAAAUGCGUUGAGAGAAAUGCAUCAUAAUGAAGCGCGCCCUAUAAACUGUGACGGAGGGAGGAGUAGUAUGAAGGUGCAAAACCAAGUACGCGUAUGGCCAGUCGGGCAACGCACCUCCUCUUGGCAUAUCAGUGACAUGUGGGACCGGAGUGUGAGCAAACCGAUCUUAAUUGACGGCAAAAUGGCCAACCCGCCGUUCCUUGAGAGAGACGAGGAGCGAGAACACACAGACGGGCUCGCACGGAGGCCAAGAUAUAUUCGAGCAUGGUUGAUCGAUAUCAUCAUUACAUGUUGGGCUGCCGUUUUCCGCCCUUCUCCGGAAUAAAUGUGUACUUUAUGAGAGAUUAAAAAAAAUAAGAGUACAGAGGCUCCACCAUGCGGUUCUAGUAGUAGUACUACUCGUACUACUAAACCUUGCGCUUGGCUCUUCGCCUCUUCGUGAAGUCGAACAAUGAUGGUACUCCGCAUGUUCGGUACUACAGUGUAUGCCUCUGGCAAUCUGACACCGAAUGAACUGAUGCAUGUCCACCGCUUGGGCGAGGGUAUGUUGCAUUAGUCAAAAGGCGUAAGCGAGCUUCACCUUGUCCUGCAAGCUUCUCCUCGUUCUGCGAGUUGACGAGACACACCGACAAGUAGUGCUAGUCCAUACUCCCUCCUUUCCGGUUAAUAUGGCUUAAUCUUUUUUGCGGGUAAAUGAGAGAGCUUUAUUCAUAUAUAAGCAUUCUUAGGACGAUCAGCCAAGACACUGGUCACUAGGAAGCGAGGUACCCCGCCAAAAAAGAAGUAGGAAGCGAGGUGUUUCAUCAAGCCAGCUCUCGGCCACAUUCAAAGUGCAGCAAGCACAGUUCGCACAAAGAUGCGCCGCAAGGUUUGCUGACAUGUUUACAUGCUGAAUAACAAAAAAAGAGGAAAUAUUACCGAGCGCUCCUAUUUGUAACAACAUAUGAGCCAGAAUUAAGCGAGAAUUGUGGCGAGUGUUCCAUGCAAUCAACUACCAUUAUCACAUGCGAGAACCCUCGAAGAGAACCAAAUGUGUUGAAGAUUGCUUUAUCACAUUUUAAAUAUAUAAUAAGAGUGCAGACGCUCCUCCAUCCGGUUCCUAGUACUAGUAUAGUACAUACCUCUAUAGACUAUAGUAGUAGUACUAGUACUAGUAAACUUUGCGCUUGGCUGUUCGCCUCUUCGGGAAGUGCAACAAUAAUAGUACUAGUAUAGUGUAUGAUUCUGGCAAUCUGACACCGAAUUAACUGUUACACGUCCACCGCCUGAGUGAAGGAGAGCUUGCAUUAGUCAAAAGCUUCUCCUUGUCCUGCGAGCCACCGCACGCAAGCUUCUCCCGUCCUGCAAGCUUCUCCUCGUCCGGCAAGUUGACGGGACACAGCAAAGUAAUGCCAGUCCAUACUGCCUCCUCUCCGGUUAAUAUGGCUUAAUUUCAAACGAGAUAAAUAGACUGUCUGUCACUGUAUAUUUGUAAAAAUACGGUCAGUAGACUUCAUAAUACACUCAUUGCGCUCAAUAUAUACAUUUUCCAGUGUUUAUACAGUCACUAGCUCACCCUGGCUAAGUAUGUGUGUGCAUGCACGUGUAGGUUGAGCACUUGAGCGUGACCGUGUGUGUUCCGUCGUGUGGUCGGACAUGCAUGCAUUAGGGCGUCGCGCGCGUUUUUGCGUCCAUGUGUACGUGUGAAUGUUGCAUACACGUAGGGGGAGUACGUGUAGGGGCCACUAAAGGAGCAGUCAAAUCACACAUUAAGUUAGUCGGAAGAAGCAACCAUCAUUUCACUUUUCAAUGACACGUACACAAUAUAAAAUGGUUGAUAUGGAGAGAAAAAGAAAACCACUAUAUAUACACUAGCAGGAGCCUAAGCUACAAGCGUGCUUGCUUGGGUUGCUCUCUUCACAAGCAUAGAACGACGGUGGCCACACCGCUGGUCACAUAUCCGGCCUGAUCCCGCAGCUGGGGGAAGGGAACAAUGUUCUACAUAGACACGGUCGACAUCGGCGAAGGAGAAACUCCACAGUCGGUGCGUCCCAAUCGGGGGUCACCGCGGUAUGGGCCGAUGCCGCGUCCCAACCGCCCUUCUAGCUACAGCCCGACGUCCCAGGUAGUCCAUCUUCCUUUUGGAGCCGGCUUACUCCACUGCCGCAGCUCCCCACGUAGCUCCAUCUCCAUGUCGAUCUUUCUCUACUUCUAUCGGCUUCUACUUGUGAUGAGUUUAUGUCUCAUGAACUAGUGCCAGUACUAUUAUUCUAAUCACACUUCUUCAAUAAUCUUUGCCAUCAGGGAUGCUUAGCUCGAUUUUAGUGGAACUGCACAAAAGCAUCGUAUGAUUCGAGGGUGCCAGCCGUCUUUCCUUCAACAGGUUCUACCUGGCCAGGAAAUUAAAUCCUGUUUAGGGAUUUGGGUUUAAGUCGUAGUGACCCCAUCAGUAGUUUUUCUUUCGUACACGCUCUCACAACUUUUGUCUUUAGUUGUGAAGUAAAUAUUGGCUAUGAUCUGUGAAUCAUUGAGAUGCAUCAGCAUGCGUGUUAGUUUUCCUUUGAAUUUGAUGGAAUGUUGUAACGGGGCAACCUUGGAGUUGGAAUGAAAAUGGAGUGGAAAGUUUCCGUUUUUCCGGAGAAAAAAUGGAAACUGAGAGAAACCAACGUUUCGUUUCAUUGGAUUGCACCAUCGAGAAAAACCAACAUUUAAAUCACGUAUGUCGCGUUCGUGUCCGACCCUCCUCCACGGCUCGACCCCACACGGUCGCUCGGCAUGCCACUCACCGCAAACCGAGUAUACGAUAACUUUCCCGCCUGCUUGUCGAUGGAUCGCGCCAUGGAGUACUAGUAAUACUGGAAGAGAUUGACGAGUUGGGGGAGGACAGCUAGCUGUAGCACGGACUCCCAAGAACUUUUUAUAUGCAUGUUGUGGCUGGCCAUUGCGACCUUUGAACGCGGAGCAGUCGCGUGCACCAGGAAGCGGCAGGGGCGACGCUCUCUCGGCCGAUGCACCACUUCAAUGCCGGCGCCAGUGAGAGGUCGUGUCUGCUCUGGCCGGGCAUGAAUGCGGCACUGACUGUUUCGGGUGGGAAGGACGCGCGGGUGAUGAAGAGGGUCCGGGUUGGUCAGGAGCGGCCGUGGCAGCGGUCCGGACGCUCGCAAACAAGAGAUGUUGUACGUUAAUAUUGCCGCUUAUAUAAUUAACAACGUAAAUAAUGUGCCAGUUGGACAAAUAUGAUUGGAGAUGAAGAUGGAAAUGGAGUUUUACGUAAACACAGAUAUGCAUGUCUAUGUCUACGUGUGUGUGCGCGAUGACUCUCGCGACCUGGAAGCGGGGGCGUGUUUUUGAUCGAGUUUUCUUUCUUGGUACAUUAAAAAAUUGUCCGCCAGUUUUCGUUUCUUUUUUCCGGGAACGUGCGUAUUCUAUUUAAAACCACUGCUAUGGAGAGAUUGUUUUGCUCCAUUAUAGCCUCUUGUUUGAUAGUGUUUCUCGCGUCUCGCUCUCUCACCCUCUCCAUAUCAAAACAAGAUGACAGUGUCCACACUAUCUCUCUUCUCACAUGUGGUCACAGAUACGGCCGAAUCCCUUCCGCUGCGGGAGGUGAGGAGGUGCAGCAUUGACGUUGUCGCCGUCGGCGAUGGAGGAAGCCGAUGCGCACCGUCCUCUCGGAGCCGGCGCUGGCGCGGAUGAAGGUCUUCUGCGCCCUUGUUCGCUGCCGUCGUGUGGGCAGAUCCCGCCCGCCCGCCUAAGCGACAUCUCGCCCACCUGAGGUAUAAAUUCUUGUAAUGGUCCAACUCCCCAGGUCGAUGCAUGCGGAUUUUCUUCUAUGCGACUACUCCCCAGCUCCCCAUGUAUAGUAGCUAGGGUUUGUCGGCUGGUCCAACAUCACCUACUAUUAUAGAGGAAAUGCCACUCGAAAAGUUGUCCUGAUUUAUGCCUCGGUGGAGGUAUACAUUUUGUUUCGACAAAAAGUACAUGGUGGUUGUGCGGUCAUUGUCCAUAUGCUCCUAUUGCUGCUGCUAAUCUAAUACUUUCACUGGUUAAAUGAAGAAAUGUUUUUUUUCUCGAGUAUCCUGGUUUAGUUCCAUCAAGAUAAUCAUGAUGCUUCUGUUUGUUGGUGUACUUUUCAUAAUUCUUAUUGACAAUUGAGAUGUCGUUGUUAAUCUUGUAAAACAAAAUAACAACACUAUAUCCCUUUUUUAUAUUUUUGGAAACAGCGAUGCGUAUCUCUAUACCUGGGCAUGUCUUCCUCAAUUUUAGUGGAACUGCACAAAAUUGGAUGGCCAUUGUUGUUCCGCCUCACUGUCCUCUGCCACGUGGUUGUUCCUUCCUUGAGUUUGACUACUGAGAAGAAACAGACCACAGUGAGGAUUUUGUCGAACUUCAUAGGUGCCUCACCCAAACUUGAUGCCAAAUGGAUGAUGCAUCACCACAAUGACCUAUCGAUGCUCAUGGUAGCGCCUCAUGGUUGCGUCGGCUGGUGAAGCUGAUCGAUUUUUAAUGAAAAACAAGUUGUCUUCCAUCUGUGCUCUUUGCUUGUUACCCACAAAGAUGAUAUCCUUCGUCAGUUCACCUUGGUUGCGUUGGAGACGCAGUCGUCUUUCACGUUGGUGCAAUUUUAUCACACAAUUGGCUAUGUACCAAAUGUUUCCUCGAAGAAUGAUCGACGUUGAUACUAAGAGCAUAAAUUUUGUAUUGAUUUCUAAGCCUUCUCACAACUUUGUGUCCAGCUCCCCUGUAAUUUUAUUUGUCCAACUAUUAACUUUGAUUAAAAAAAUGGUGUGGACUAAAAACCCGGAUGGACGUAGUAGCCCUCCAUUUUUAUUUACUCCGCAUAUUAGAUAUGACUAAAGUCAAACUUUGUAAAGUUUGACCAAGUUUAGGCCGAACACAACAAACCAAAAUUAUUAGAGAGGGCAAAAUGUACAUACUCUCAAACCUUUCCGAUAAUUGAAAUUAAAAUUCUUUAUUUGUACACACUCUCACACGUUUCCGAUAAUUUGGCGCAUGUGUGGUUGUUCACUUAAGGGAGGGUAGUGUACCGCACGUGAAGGACAGGAAGUGUGACCAGGACGCGUGGAUCGUUAGUUCAUCGGAAGUACUCCCUCCGUUCCUAAAUAUUGUCUUUCAAGUGGUUUGCAAUGGACUACCACAUACGGAUGUAUAUAGACAUUUUUUACAGUGUAGAUUCACUCAUUUUGCUCCGUAUGUAGUCAUUUGUUGAAAUCUCUAGAAAGACAAAUAUUUAGGAACAGAGGGAGUAUUAGUUUUCUUCACCGGUACAUUAAAUAAAGAGUUUCGUUCGUACUUACACAAUUUAAAAUGAUUGUUAUGGAGAGAAUAAGAAAACCACUCCACUAUAUAUUAGUCGUAUACACAAGUACUAUAUGGACGCAGCUUCAUUGACUUUAGUACACCUGCCUUUGGGUUUAUGACAGGUCGGCCCAAAAUGUGGCUGGCCCACCUGUCAUACAGCCAAAAGCAGGUGCAGUUAAGGCACCGGAGCUCAGUCCGUACUACAGUAUAUAUAUAAGCUGGAGCCUCAGCUAUUGUUCACUAGGGUUUGCACUCUCCACACUCUCGCCGCACUACUUAUAUAUAUAUAUAUAUAGACACACGCUGGAGGCUCAGCGUUCCUUUGCUAGGGUUUGCUAUAUUCACUGUCUCUCACCCUCUUCACCAGAUCUAAACAAGACUGCGUUGUGGCCUCUGUCUCUCUCACCCCCCUCACAGCUGGCGAAGGAGGCAUACAGAUCCCGUCGCACCGGGAAGGGGAGGAGGUGCAGCGUUCACUCUAUCGCCUUCGGCGAGGGAUGCAAUCCACUGCCGGCUGCGCUUUUCUCUUUCACCCAGCGCCUGUGCGGGAGGGCCACCGACCCCUUCUUCCUCGCUGUUGUACGUAGUGUGGGCAGAUCCGACCUCCCGCCGCACGCCUUGCCACAUCCCGACGAUCCUAAGGUAUAAGUUUCUUUGAAACCGUCAUUGGUCUAGCUGCAUGCUGAUCUUUUUCGAUUCUGUAGUCGAAUCUAGGUCUUGGUUCAAAGAGGAAAGAAGGGUGCGGUGGGGUGGAGCAUGAAUCUAGGACGUGGUUCAAUGAGGAAAGGUGGGAGGGAAAGUAGUAUAGACUAGCUAUCUAGCCGCUUUGUUGGUAGAAAAGUGAAAAAGGGGGUAACCCAGUACACACAUCUGUAAGGAACCGAACUCUUUGUUGAAAAUUAGGGAAAGAAACUGGGGGGCGGGUAGUUUGUGCAGGACUAGAUUUGCUGCCCUCACAUCGGAAAAAGUUUCAAAGAGAACAAAUAUGGGACCAACGCAGAUAUGCUGCUUGGCUACAUACUCUGCAUCACCCAUUUAUACGUGUGGACGCACAUGGUGCUGGCAUGUCCCAUGUCCCAUCCACAUGAUCGUGCAGUGUGUUUUGAGAUGUUGUGCUACUUGUAUUGGUACUGUUUUAAAUAAAUGUUGAAUUGAAGCUAUUGUAUUGCUGUCUUUUCCCAUUAAGUAGUGAACAAAAAUGGGACCAACCCAGACAUUAUGCUUGUUGCUUUGUUACAAUAAACUCUGCAUCACCCCCUUUAUAAGUAGAUGGAAGCACAUGUUGUUGUUGCGCCCACUCUCCCCUGGAACUGUUUAUGCUUUUUGUUAAUCUAAUGCCGCUGGUAAAAUUAAGCAAUGCCACUCUCAGAAUUAACUACUGAAUCUUAUUUCAAAACUGCAACACUUGUUAGGGAUUGGCGGGAUUAGCAUUUUUGUGGCCGCAUGUUUCAUCCUCCUUUAUUAGCCAGUAAUUGAUUCCUUUUUUGCCUCUGUUAAAACAGGGAUAACUAUUCAACUUGUUGCUAUUGUGACAUUUUGCUUCGCUUAAUUUUGGUGGAACUGCACAAAAUGAGACCGGAUUUCCAUAUAUGUGUUGAGAUCUCUCUCAGGUCUUCCUCACGAGUUGUUUCAAAUCUUGGUCUUGAAAGGUCAGUACCGACUUUCCUCAAAAUUAACUACUGAAUCUUAGUUCAAAACUGCAACACUUGUUAGGGAUCGGUGGGAGUACCAUUUCUGUUAGGGAUCGGCCGGAGUACAUAUUUAAGAAAUGUAUUGUUCAGAUAAUGUCUCUGUUAUUAUAUAUCAGUUAUAGUGUUUUACAAAUGGUACUAUCCUGCUUUGUAGUUCUUUCUACAUGUUUAACCAAGGUAUUGUUAAGAUAAUGUCUCUGUUAAAAUGAAUCUGUCGCAUUGUUUUAGGAAUGAUACUUUUCUGCUUUGUCGUUCUUUAUACAUGUUGAAACAAGGCAUUGUUAAGAUAAUGUCUCAGUUAAUAUGAAUGAAUCACACUGAUUCAGAAUUGCUACUCUCCUGCUUUGUUUCCCAUUAAGAUAAGGUAGAUCAGUAGAUGUUUUUCUUCUGGGAGUACAAGUCAUCAACCAUUAUUUCUCAGUAAUUGUUUCCCUUAUACCUUUUGUUGCUUACAGGGAUAUCAAAAUUAAAGCUCGGUUUUAUUCCGACUUUGAUUUUAGUUGAACUGCACAAAAGGAGCCAAUGUGUCUAAGGCAAACUACUGCAUUAGUGGGUCCAGUUGGUCUUACCACUUUGUAGAAAGAAGCAGUCACUGUUUCGCUACAUUACACAAGGAAUGAUCGAGAAGCUUUUCAGAGUAUUAGUAGAUGCUGGUGACAUGACUAGUCUACAGAGAGCAUAGGAAACUCUACAACAUGUGGAGUGCACUGGGCAAAAAGUGCCCAAACAAGUACAGGAAGCCAGGACAGGACUCCAAAUCUGUCAAUGUCAUUCUAAGCAACAAUGAUGGGGCAUCUGGGUAUGGUAAUCUGUUUACCGUACUUUCAGUUUGUUAGUCCACCGAUUGGUGGGUUGACACUGGGCCAAAUAUUCAUGUGUGUGCUGCUGUGUCUUUGUUUUCUUGCAGCAUAUAAAUACGAUAUCCAUAGGGAUGCUCAGCUUGAUUUUAGUGGAACUGCACAAAAUGUCCAGAUGGUUUGUGUCCUCCAUAAUACUUCAUCAUGCACAAUACAUCGAAUGGUUUUCUAAUCAUUCGUCGUCACCUUGAGCCACCGGACUAUAUGUUCGAAUGGUGCUGCCAGCGUCGGCCAUUAAUAAGGGUAAGAAGAAAGACAAAAAGAGAGAUGGUUGCUUUACUUGUGGUUCGGAGGAACACUGGGCAAACAAGUGCCCAAACAAGUACCAAGAAGCCAGGACAGGACUCCAAGUCUGUUAAUGUCACUCUAAGCAACAAUGAUGGGGCAUCUGGGUAUGUUAAUCUGUUUACUGUACUUUCAGUUUGUUAGUCCACCGAUUGGUGGCUUGACAUUGGGGCCAAUAUUCAUGUGUGUGCUGAUGUGUCUUUGUUUUCUGGCAGCAUAUAAAUACGAAAUCCACAGGGAUGCUCAGCUUGAUUUUAGUGAAACUGCACAAAAUGUUCAGAUGGUUCGUGUCCUCCAUAAUACUUCACAUCAUGCACAAUACAUCGAAUGGUUCUCUAAUCAUUCGUCGUCACCUUGAGCCACCGGACUAUCAGAUGACAAACUGAUGACAAACCCUGCCCGUUCCACAAUCAUAGGCAUUACAUAUUUUGAAUGGGAAAAGCUUGUCAAAGUUGACAUUAGUUUAAUAUAUAGGAAUUGGAAAACCUUGUCAAUUUUUGCUCAUUGAUGUUAGCCAGAAGACAUGCAUUUGAUAUUUUUGAGUGGGACGCCCUUUGCUGUGAGCAACGUCGAUCGUUUUUUCCUAUUCCUGUCUUCAGUUCAGAAGUAAAUAUUUACUCUGCUGAGAUGCAUAGUCACAUGAAUGUUGACUUAUGUAAGAUAUUUUAAGAGUUUGUUCUGAAUAUUGUCUAUGUAAUGCCAGGCCUUGUGUUUGAUUGCAAAGAUGAGCUUGAAUGUUGUGGCAUGCGGCAUCACGAGCUGUUCACCAUGCCUCCUGAGAAUAAUGCUUUGUAUUAUUUUGCAUGUCGAUCUAAUGCUAGUGAUUUGCUUGUUAGGAAGAUCAUCCUCUUCUGCUGUUUCCGUGCUUAAGAAGUUCAUCGUCUUAUGUUUCAUUCAUAGCCUAUACGACAAGUCGGGUAGGUUAGACGUGAAACCAUAUGAUCUUCCGACCAACUCAUCAUCUUAGGCCAUGAUUGGAUCGUCGUUUUCCAACCAAAACCGCUUGUAAAACUGACGCUUGCAAAUAAAAGCAGAUGGUCUCGGGCGAAGCGCUUGGUUGGUCGAUUUCGACUAGCAAUAUAUACACCGGUCUCUCAAAUUACACGCGUAACUCGCCGGUUUUACUUACAGACUUCGGUCCCUCGGUUUCAUUACGCCUGUAUUUUACGCGUUGUUUCCGAUGACGAGUAAAUUACACUUGUAUCUUAAUAGAGGUGUGAAAUAAACCAGAGCUCCCAAGCACGGCCUUACCGUUUCAUGCCGUCUCAGUCUCUCGAAGGUGCUCAUAGGUGUCCGCUGAUCCUGGCUUCCUGAAUGAGCAGCGGGCGCUGUAUCGGACCAUCCGUAGGGCCCACGAGGCCCUCUCCGUCGUCCUUCGAGUUGUUGCGCUCGCCGUGGCGCCGAGCAUUGUUAACAUGGUCAAUGAACAUGAGGAUUCAUGAGAUGACUUUAUUUUGAUUGGAUGACAGUAGGGACACACUAGGGCCAUAGCCGUACGUACGCAAGUGCCUCCUUAUUAUGUACAACUAUAUUUUUUUGCUUCCUCCUGGUUUCCUGCCAUCACGGUCCCACACCAUUGUCAACCUAUGUAGUCAAUAUAAACGAGAGAAUUGCACAAGGUGCGGCCGACAGCUGAGACCAAGCACGUCGAGUAGUAUUUGUGUUUUUGAGGCGUGAGCACUGCAGAGUUUUUCUUGGCGAUGUUUUCGUUGUUGUUCAGAGGAGAGAAGGGUAUUAACUGGGCGAGCUGUGGCCCGUCUAGCCCAGGACAGAUAUCCAGCCCAGAUAUUAAUUUUUUUUUAAGAUGAAAAUGGCUAGCCCAGCUAUACGUUUUUUUAGGAAUACCCAGGCAAGGUCAACUUGUUAUUCUUCACCCCGCUGGGCUGCAAAUCUUUCCUAGGAGGGAUGCAUUAGGCUUAACAGGAAAAUGGGCUUUAAAAAAUAAUAAAUGAGAUGUAAUUAUAAAAACUAGGCAGUAACUAUAAAAAAUGCACCAAGCACGAAAUUAGUUUAUAAAAUAUUAUUUAUGGAUUUUGAAAAUCUUAAUUUUUAAUUGUUGUGCACGCAAUGUUUCGUUAGAUUUUUACGUAAUACAAAUUUAUAUUUAAUCUGACUAGAAAUUUUGGGAUAAAAAUAUUUCGGAUCCCAUCAAAAUGUGGGAAAUUUUAUUGAAUUCUGUCUUGAACGGUUGGUUGAAAUUAUUAAUCGUUGUCCUAGCUAGAAAAUGGGUUGUACUUUUAACAAACUGUAAAUGAGCUGUAGUAAAUUCCAUUAGAAUUCAAAAAUGGACUCUACAUUCUUACGAAUCGCAAAUGGGCUAUAAGUUCUCUGCCACACACUUGUGGGCCUACUAAGUUGACGCGUCCCCUAAAAAAAGAAGUUGACGCGUAUGCAAGGCUUUGUCAACUUAUUAUAGUCAACACACGGUUCUAGCAGCAGUGGCCAUUGGAUGUCCAUCCAACGGAUGCCGUGCUUCUUCUUCAAUCUCGGAUAUUCUAGCUUCACCCGCCCAAAAAAUGAUUCCUCCCCCUGACAUCUGGGGUGCACCGUUUCGGAAGCUGACCUGUGGGCCUACUAAGUUGACGCGUACCAAGGGCUUUGUCAACUUAGUCAAUAUGAACGAUUCUAGCUGCAGCGACCGUACGAUGUCCAUCCAACGGCCGUAGUGCUUCUUCAACCUCUGGUCUUCUUGCUCCAUCCGCCCAAAGCAGCGCCGGUCGUGCCGCUUGCUCCUGCCUCCCGUGGCCGGCUGUGCUGCCGCGGAGGCCCCACCGCCCCCUACUACUCCCACCGCUGGCCAGGCUAUCCCUCCACUCACCCACACCCCCUGUUGUUCUGCAGCGACCGCAGCCUCACACCGCAGCCGAACCAGUGAACCCUCGUACUCCUCUCCGUGCGGGCUUCCACUACCGCGUCUUCCCCGGCUCCUCGUCGUCCCCUUCCUAGGCCUCACCGUCGUCCACCGCCCUGGUGCUCUUGGCGCGGCGUGGUCAACGUGGUCAAGGAACGACUUUCAUCGGAAGAGUACUGUACGUGGAGAGGCUGACAGCUGGGUCCAGGGCGGCCGCAAGGAAGUGCCUCCUUAUUACACGCAAAAUAAUUAUUCCUCCACCAGACAGCAGGGACCCAUCGGACGGGCCACCGUAUUUCGCGAAAAAAACGUUUCCCCCUGACUACUGGGACCCACCAGCUACAUCUUCGCACGCAAGGAAAUGCGUCCGGGCAAAAAAACGAUUCGCCCCCUGACUGCUGGGACCCACCAGCUACACCUUCGCAGGCAAGGAAGUGCCUGACAGUCGGGACCCACCUGGUCGAAGCGUAUGUAGCGUUGUCAUUCUGGUCGCGAACGUGUACGUACAUACUGGUCGAUGUAGAGGCGCGCACGUGUCGUAGUAGAGGCACGCACGUAGCAUGUACACGUACGUACAAUGGCCAGUGUGUAAGAAAGAAAAUACGGCCAGGUACGUACAUCCGGGCAGGGUCUCGAACGCCUACUCCCGCAUACGUAUGGCCAGGGCUCGUGUACAUGGCUGGGUCGGAAUAGAGAAACUGUGUCGUCGUCGUGUUCAUGGGGAGCCAACCGGCUGGGUCGGAACGGAAUGCGUCGUCGUGUUCAUCGGGAGGGCUUGGACAGAACAGCCGAUGGAAACGAGGCUCGGCGUACCGCAGAACGGAGGAAACGGCCUUGUGUUCGACCGGCCACGGUCGAAACGGGAUCCUGUUCAUCGGGAGGGGUUUGGCAUACCGCAAAACGGAGGAAACGGACCUCCUACGGUCGAAACGGGGGUCCUGUUGAUCGGGAGGGGUGUGGCGUACCGCAAAACGGAGGAAACGGACUUGUGUUGGAGCGCUACGGUCGAAACGGGGGUCCUGUUCAUCGGGAGGGGUGUGGCGUACCGCAAAACGGGACUCCACGGGAUACUGUUCAUCUCCACCGUCGACCCCCUCUAGCCUCCACGGGCUACUGUUCAUCCACCGUCGACCUCCUCCAGCCUCCACCUGCGACUGUUCAUCCACGGGCUCCUGUUCAUCCAGCCUCCACCGCACGCUACUCCACUGGCUACUGUUCAACCUGCCCUCUCCACGGGCUCCUAUUCAACCACCCCUCCACUGGCUACUGUUCAUCUAGCCCUCCACCAUCUACUGUUCAUCCAGCCCUCCACGGGGUGGUCCUAUUCAUCCAGCCCUCCACGGGGUCCUGUUCAUCCAGCCCCAGCCGGCUCGAUCGAUCGGGGUCAUGUUCAUCCAGAGGCAACACCACGGGGUCCUGUUCAUCCACCCCACUGGGAACUGUUCAUCCAAACCCCCCAGCAACGCUCACUGUUCAUCCAGAGGCAGCAUCGAUCGGCUUCAGUUAGCAGCAGUAGCGAAGGAAUCGCUCGAUCGGGUUCAGUUAACAGCCAUCGAUCGAUCGCUCGGGUUCAGUAACGCGUAGCCUACAGUGCAAUCGCUCGGGUUCAGUUAGAACCCAAUGCCUCGUUCGGGUUCAGUUAGAGCCCAACGCCUCGCACCCACGCGCGUGCGUGUACGAGAGAAACGCAAAUCGCUCGGCCCCGACCACCCACCGUAACCGGGAACACCCCGAUAUUUUCCUCGCCCCCGCUUCUACCACGGUUUUUUCCGUCAUGGACGGCCCAAAGAAUGUCAUGCAGCUGCGUCUCCGGCCCGCUUAGGACGAAAAGCCCAUUUUCUGUCAUGAUUUUUUGUCAUAGAAGUAGGACCCCACCACAUCUAUGAUGAUACCGCGUUUUGUCACAAUUAUCGUCAUAGAAGUGUCAUAAGUAUGACAUAAAUUUUUUUCGUUCGGCCCAAAAUGUCACGGAUGUGUCUUUUUUUUGUAGUGAUGCCAUGCGGGUGAAAUGAUGAUACCAUGCCAAGUUUCAACCUUUUCAGGGUUCAUUUGUAGUGCUUUACAAUUUCAGGGCCAUUUAGCUCAAAACAAAUCAGUAAAUGCAUUAAAAAUAGCAAAUUAUGUUAGAAAGGGUUGAAAGUUGAUGACGUGGCUUUGAAUGGCGCCUGCUGAACGCAAAAAAAGUCCGGAGUUGUAAUAAGUUAUUAAAAUUUUGAAUUGCCGGUCUAAUAGAUGAGUUUUCGUCCGAAACCCUGAUACUUCGAUAGAGAUUGUCCAGUUUGUACACGAAGUGCAUCAAGUUUUUGCCGUAACCCUCUCUACUUUUUUGCACAUGCUAUGCGGGUGAAAUGAUGAUACCAUGCCAAGUUUCAACCUUUUCAGAGUUCAUUUGUAGUGCUUUAUAAUUUCAGGGCCAUUUAGCUCAAAACAAAUCAGUAAAUGCUUUAAAAAUAGCAAAUUAUGUCAGAAAGGGUUGAAAGUUGAUGACGUGGCUUUGAAUGGCGCCUGUUGAACGCAAAAAAAGUCCGGAGUUGUAAUAAGUUAUUAAAAUUUUGAAUUGCCGGUGUAACAGAUGAGUUUUCGUCUGAAACCCUGAUACUUCGAAAGAAAUUGUCCAGUUUGUACACGAAGUGCAUCAAGUUUUUGUCGUGACCCUCUCUACUUUUUUGCACAUGCUAUGCGGGUGAAAUGAUGAUACCAUGCCAAGUUUCAACCUUUUCAGAGUUCAUUUGUAGUGCUUUUCAAUUUCAGGGCCAUUUAGCUCAAAACAAAUCAGUAAAUGCAUUGAAAAUAGCAAAUUAUGUCAGAAAGGGUUGAAAGUUGAUGACGUGGCUUUGAAUGGCGCCUGCUGAACGCAAAAAAGUCCGGAGUUUGAGAGGACAGAGUGAGGGUGUAAACAUGUAAAAAUAUACAUAAAAAUACAUUGAUCAUUAAUGAUCUUUUUGUGUACAAUCUGAAUUGUCAAUAUGAGUCCUCAACGGUUUACAAACCGGUGAAGACUCAUAUUGCGGCCACAAAUUCUACACAAAGAGUUCAAUGAAGACCAAGUGCUUGUGAUAGUUUGAGAAGUAACAUAUUUAAGGUGGUAAAAACCCUGUUAGCCGAGCGAGGUGGGACUAAAAAACAGCUGCAACUACAAUCCUCUAGUACCGGUUUGUGGAAGGAACCGGUACUAAAGGCGCCGGUGGGGCCCCAGCCGGACCACGGCGUGCCACAUCCUCUUUAGUACCGGUUCUUGCCACAAACCGGUACUAAAGGUUCGCAACGAACCGGUAUUAAUUAGCUCCGCCCGCCUAGCCGUUCGAACCGGCACUAAUGGACACAUUAGUGCCGGUUUUGUUACAAACCGGUACUAAUGUGCUUCACAUUAGGCCGUUUUUCUACUAGUGUCCUACUAGAUUGAUAUCUUGGUUCUCAAAACUGAGGGAAAUACUUAUGGUCCUUUGCUGCAUCACCCUUUCCUCUUCAAGGGAAAAACCAACGCAAGCUCAAGAGGUAGCAGGAGGGCGCGCCCUAGGGGGGACGCCCCAUACCUUGUGGGCCCCUCGGUGACUGCUUGACCUAGAUCUUCCUCCUAUAUAUUCACAUAUAUUCCCAAACCACCAGAGGCAUCCACAAAAACACUUUUCCACCGCGGCAACCUUCUAUUCUCGUGAGAUCCCAUCUUGGGGCCUUUUCCGGCAUCUUGCCGAAGGGGGAUUCGAUCACGGAGGGCUUCUACAUCAAUUCUAUUGCCCAUCCGAUGAAGCGUGAGUAGUUUACCUCAGACCUACGGGUCCAUAGCUAGUAGCUAGAUGGCUUCUUCUCUCUCUUUGAUUCUCAAUACCAUGUUCUCCUCGAUGUUCUUGGAGAUCUAUCCGAUGUAAUCUUCUUUUGCGGUGUGUUUGUCUAGAUCCGAUGAAUUUUGGAUUUAUGAUCAGCUUAUCUAUGAAUAUUAUUUGAAUCUUGUCUGAAUUCUUAUAUGCAUGAUUUGAUAUCUUUGUGUUUCUCUUCGAACUAUCGGUUUGGUUUGGCCAACUAUAUUGAUUUUUCUUGCAAUGGGAGAGGUGUUUAGCUUUGGGUUCAAUCUUGCGUGAUUUCUGCGAGACACAUAUUGAAUUGUUGCCACCAAGGGUAAAAAGAUGGGGUUUUCAUCAUAUUGCUUGAGUUUAUUCCUCUACAUCAUGUCAUCUUACUUAAGGCAUUACUCUGUUCUUUAUGAACUUAAUACUCUAGAUGCAUGCUGGAUAGCGGUCGAUGUGUGGAGUAAUAGUAGUAGAUGCAGGCAGGAGUCGGUCUACUGACACGGACGUGAUGCCUAUAUGCAUAAUCAUUGCCUUGGAUAUCGUCAUAACUUUGCGCUUUUCUAUCAAUUGCUCGACAGUAAUUUGUUCACCCAACGUAUUAUUUGCCUUCAUGAGAGAAGCCUACAGUGAAACCUAUGCCUCCAGGGUCUAUUUUCCAUCAUAUUAGUUUCAGAUCUACUAUUUUGCAAUCUUUUAUUUUUAGAUCUAUAAACCAAAAAACCCAAAAAUAUUUACUUUAUAUUUUGUUUAGUUUUAUCUAUCUCUAUCAAAUCUCACCUUUGCAAGUGACCGUGAAGGGAUUGACAACCCCUUUAUCGCGGUGGGUGCAAGUGUUUUAUUUUUUGUGUAGGUAUUGGUGAUUUGUGUGUUGUCUCCUACUGGAUUGAUACCUUGGUUCUCUAACUGAGGGAAAUACUUAUCUCUACUUUGUUGCAUGACCCUUUCCUCUUUAAAGGAAAAACCAACGCAAGCUCAAGAAGUAGCAGGAAGAAUUUCUGGCGCCGUUGCUGGGGAGAUCUACGCCAAGUCAAGACAUAUCAAGUACCCAUCAUAAAACUAUCAUCUCUUGCAUUACAUUAUUCGCCAUUUGCCUCUCAUUUUCCUCUCCCCCACUUCUAAAACGAUUUUCGAAAAUAUUUGCCUUUUUUUCGCCCCUCUUCCAUUCGUCUUCGUUGCUUUUGGUUUGCUCGUUGCUAGAUCGAUUUGUUGCCACCAUGUCUGGAUCUGGGGAGAUUAUCGCUGAAAAGGAUAGUAGUAACGAUGGGGGAAACUUUGAUGCUUUUACUAAUUUUAAUCCUCAUGAAGAAUCUACUAUCAUGCACAUCACAUAGGGAGUGGCAAUAUUAUUGGAAAAGGGGUUAUUCAAGAUUUCUUUACUUGUGCCAGUGCAUUACCCACGUUAGGUGGAUCGAUUCUCCAUAAAACUAGCAGUCUCACUGAUGCUAUAUCUUUGCUUGUGGUUGAACUUGAAAGACAAUUUGUUCAUAUGCAUCCAUGCAUACAAAGGAUUUUUCUAGAGUUUUCUAAUAUUGAGCAUUAUAAAAGAAGCUAGUGAAAUUUUCACGCAUUAUAAAAUAGAUGGUGGUUGACCUCCCAUAGAGGGGAUUCUCUUUAACAAAGAGGAAAUAAUGCGUUUAUGAUCUCUAGAUCAUGUUGCUUAUAAUGAAAAAUUAAGAAAGAGGGUCCCUACCGAUAUUUUAGUUCAUAAGAUUUCUGAACUUAAUGAUAAUUUUGCUAUACAAAACAACGGAUUGGGUUACUCUCUUGGACAUAAGCUCAUGACUUUUUUCCAAAAUAAUGCUUACAGUGAUGAAUUGGUCAUACAAUAUGAGGGGCCAAAGGAGGAACCAAUUCCUCCCAAACUUGAUCUUAGGGAUCCUUAUCCCAUUAAAUUUAGCCCUUUUGAUUACUUUUGCUUGCCACAAAGAAAACUUGCUGCUGAACGAAGGGAGUAUGAGAUGAGCUUUUGAGAUUUGCCUUAUUAUUACUACGACAAUACGUAGAUCUAUGUGUUUUUAUGCCUAGCUAAGGGCGUUAAACAAUAACGCUUGUUGGGAGGCAACCCAAAUUUAUUUUUGAGUUUUUUGUUUUGCUACUGUUCUUGAAUAAAAUACAUAUUACCUCUGUAGUAAUUGUGUUUUGGUGUUUUAAUUAGUGUUUGUGCCAAGUAAGACCUUUGGGAUGGCUUAUGGUGAUAGUUGAUUUGAUCUUGCUGAAAACAGAAACUUUUGCGCUCAGAAAAACAAUUCUCAUUUUUAACAGAAUCAUGAUAAAGUACUGAUUCUUUUUUGCAUAAGAUUGAGAUACAAAUUGCCUCUGUUGUCCUUACUUUUCAGAAUUUUUGGAGUUACAGGAGUAUUCGAGAGUUACAGAUUGCUACAGACUAGUCUGUUUUUGACAUAUUUUUGUUUUCUCUGUGUUGUUUGCUUACUUUGAUGAAUCUAUGGGUAAUAUCGGGGGGUAUGAACCAUGGAAAAGUUGGAAUACAGUAGAUAUUACACCAAUUUAAAUUAAGAAUGAGUUCACAACAGUACCAUAAGUGGUGAUUUAUUUUCUUAUACUAACAGAUCUCAUGAGAUUUGCUGUUGAGUUUUGUGUUGUGAAGUUUUCAAGUUUUGGGUAAGGAUUUGAUGGACUAUGGCAUAAGGAGUGGCAAGAGCCUAAGCUUGAGGAUGCCCAAGGCACCCCAAGGUAAUAUUCAAGGACAACCGAGAGCCUAAGCUUGGGGAUGCCCUGGAAGGCAUCCCUCUUUCGUCUUCGUCUAUCGGUAAAUUUACUUGAGGCUAUAUUUUUAUUCACCAAAUGAUAUGUGUUUUGCUUGGAGCAUCUUGUAUGAUAUGAGUCUUUGCUUUUUUGUUUACCACAAUCAUCCUUGUUGUACAUACCUUUUGAGAGGUACAUGCAUGAAUCGUGAUUUAUUAGAAUACUUUAUGUACUUCACUUAUAUCUUUUGAGCUAGGCAAUUUUGCUCUAGUGCUUCACUUAUAUCUUUUUAGAGCACAGCGGUGGCUUUAUUUUAUAGAAAUUGUUGAACUAUCAUGCUUCACUUAUAUUAUUUCGAGAGUCUCUCUAAAUAGCAUGGUAAUUUGCUUUCAUUAUGAAUUAGUCCUAAUAUGAUGGAAAUCCAAGAGGGAUAUAAUAAAAACUUUCAUAUAAAGAGCAUUGAAUAGAUGAGAAGUUUGAUUCCUUGCAUUUGUUUUGAGAUAUAAAUAUGGUGAUAUUAGAGUCAUGCUAGUGAGUAAUUGUGGAUUGGUAGAAAUACUUGUGUUAAAGUUUUUGAUUCCCGUAGCAUGCACGUAUGGCGAGCCGUUAUGUCAUGAAGUCGGAGCAUGAUUUAUUUAUUGAUUGUCUUCCUUAUGAGUGGCGGUCGGGGAUGAGCGAUGGUCUUUUCCUACCAAUCUAUCCCUUAGGAGCAUGCGCGUAGUACUUUGUUUCAAUAACUAAUAGACCUUUGCAAUAAGUAUGUGAGUUCUUUAUGACUAAUAUUGAGUCCAUGGAUUAUACGCACUCUCACCCUUCCACCAUUGCUAGCCUCUCUAGUACCGCACAACUUUCGCCAGUGCCUUACACCUACCUUUUACCUUCCUCAAAACAGCCACCAUAUAUACCUACCUAUUAUGGCAUUUUCAUAGCCAUUCCGAGAUAUAUUGCCAUGCAACUUUCCACCGUUCCAUUUUAUUAUGACACGCUCCAUCAUUGUCAUAUUGCUUUGCAUGAUCGUAAGAUAGCUAGCAUGAUGUUUACAUGGCUUGUCCGUUUUUUUGAUUCCCUUUGCUACGCUAGAUCAUUGCACAUCCCGGUACACUGCCGGAGGCAUUCAUAUAGAGUCAUAUUUAUUUCUAAGUAUCGAGUUGUAAUUCUUGAGUUGUAAGUAAAUAACAGUGUGAUGAUCAUCAUUAUUAGAGCAUUGUCCCAUGUGAGGAAAGGAUGAUGGAAGCUAUGAUUCCCUCACAAGUUGGGAUGAGUCUUCGGACUUUACAAAAAAAGGCCAAGAAGCCCACCAAAAUAAAAAAUAUAAAAAAUGAGAGAAAAGAGAGAAGGGGCAAUGUUACUAUCCUUUUUCCACACUUGUGCUUCAAAGUAGCACCAUGAUCUUCAUGAUAGAGAGUCUCCUAUGUUAUCACGUUCAUAUACUAGUGGGAUUUUUUCAUUAUAGAACUUGGCUUGUAUAUUCCAAUGAUGGGCUUCCUCAAAUUGCCCUAGGUCUUCGUGAGCAAGCGAGUUGGAUGCACACCCAGUUAGUUUCUUUUUGAGCUUUCAUAAACUUAUAGCUCUAGUGCAUCCGUUGCAUGACAAUCCCUACUCACUCACAUUGAUAUCUAUUGAUGGGCAUCUCCAUAGCCCGUUGAUAGGCCUAGUUGAUGUGAGACUAUCACCUUCUUUUUGUCUUCUCCACAACCACCAUAUUCUAUUCCACCUAUAGUGAUAUAUCCAUGGCCCACGCUCAUGUAUUGCGUGAAAGUUGAAAAAGUUUGAGAACAUCAAAAGUAUUAAACAAUUGCUUGGCUUGUCAUCGGGGUUGUGCAUGAUUUAAUACUUUGUGUGAUGAAGACGGAGAAUGGCCAGACCAUAUGAUUUUGUAGGGAUAAAUUUCUUUGGCAUGUUAUUUUGAGAAGACAUGAUUGCUUUAUUAGUAUGCUUGAAGUAUUAUUGUUUUUAUGUCAAUAUUAAACUUUUGUUUUGAAUCUUAUGGAUCUGAACAUUCAUGCCACAAUGAAAAAAUUACAUGGAUAAAUAUGUUAGGUAGCAUUCCACAUAAAAAAUUCUGUUUUUAUCAUUUACAUACUCGAGGACGAGCAGGAAUUAAGCUUGGGGAUGCUUGAUACGUCUCCAACGUAUCUAUAAUUUUUUAUUGUUCCAUGCUAUUAUAUUAUCUGUUUUGGAUGUUUCAUAUGCAUUAAUAUGCUAUUUUAUAUUUUUUUGGGACUAACUUAUUAACCUAGAGCCCAGUGCCAGUUUCUGUUUUUUCCUUGUUUUUGAGUUUCGCAGAAAAGGAAUAUCAAACGGAGUCCAAACGGAAUAAUUUUUCCUGACCUAGAUCUUCCUCCUAUAUAUUCACAUAUAUUCCCAAACCACCAGAGGCAUCCACGAAAACACUUUUCCACCGCCGCAACCUUCUGUUCCCAUGAGAUCCCAUCUUGGGGCCUUUUUGGGCAUCCUGCCGGAGGGGGAUUCGAUCACGGAGGGCUUCUACAUAAUUUCUAUUGCCCAUCCGAUGAAGCGUGAGUAGUUUACCUCAGACCUACGGUUCCAUAGCUAGUAGCUAGAUGGCUUCUUCUCUCUUUUUGAUUCUCAAUACCAUGUUCUCCUCGAUGUUCUUAAAGAUCUAUCCGAUGUAAUCUUCUUUUGCGGUGUGUUUGUCGAGAUCCGAUGAAUUGUGGAUUUAUGAUCAGCUUAUCUAUGAAUAUUAUUUGAAUCUUCUCUGAAUUCUUAUAUGCAUGAUUUGAUAUCUUUGUAUUUCUCUUUGAACUAUCGGUUUGGUUUGGCCAACUAGAUUGGUUUUUCUUGCAAUGGGAGAGGUGUGUAGCUUUGGGUUCAAUCUUGCGUGAUUUCACCUAGUGACAAAGUAGGGGUAGCAAGACACAUAUUGAAUUGUUGCCAUCGAGGAUAAAAAGAUGGGGUUUUCAUCAUAUUGCUUGAGUUUAUUCCUCUACACCAUGUCAUCUUACUUAAGGCGUUACUCCGUUCUUUAUGAACUUAAUAUUCUAGAUGCAUGCUGGAUAGCGGUCGAUGUGUGGAGUAAUAGUAGUAGAUGCAGGCAUGACUCGGUCUACUUGAGACGGACGUGAUGCCUAUGUGCAUAAUCAUUGCCUUGGAUAUCGUCAUAACUUUGCGCUUUUCUAUCAAUUGUUCCACAGUAAUUUAUUCACCCACCAUAUUAUUUGCCUUCAUGAUAGAAGCCUCUAGUGAAACCUAUGGCCCCCAGGUCUAUUUUACAUCAUAUUAGUUUCUGAUCUACUAUUUUGCAAUCUUUUAUUUUUAGAUCUAUAAACCAAAAAACCCAAAAAUAUUUAUUUUAUCUUUUGUUUAGUUUUAUCUAUCUCUAUCAGAUCUCACCUUUGCAAGUGACAGUGAAGGGAUUGACAACCCCUUUAUCGCGUUGGGUGCAAGUGUUUGAUUGUUUGUGCAUGUAUUGGUGAUUUGUGCGUUAUCUCCUACUGGAUUGAUACCUUGGUUCUCUAACUGAGGGAAAUACUUAUCUCUACUUUGCUACAUCACCCUUUCCUCUUCAAGGGAAAAACCAACGCAAGCUCAAAAAGUAGCGAAACCUCUGCCGGUAGUUCUCUAUUUAGCUUGUGUGGUGUCUGUUGAGAACCUUGUAGCCAUAGAUAAGUGUUCCCCUUGGGUGGAACUGCUUGGGAAGAAGCUAUGAAUUUAUCCCAUAAAUUCACAAUAUAAACAUCAAGUGAAAGAACUUAGCUGCUUGUGAAGCAACAUAGUGAUAAAUACGGAGAGCACCGAGUAGGAUUAAUACAACUGCUGCAUACCUGUAGGCCGCCUCUUUGGUUUCGCCAACCCGUAAAAGGAUCCUGCAUAAACACAUAAAAUAUUAUAAUUAGUAAAUCAAGUUAAUUUCGACUUCACUAAAUUAAAUAAGUUUUAAUAUUAAAUAUUUUAAAAUUUUUAAUUAACUUAGAUUUCAUACUAACUAUUUUUGUAUUUUGCAUAUUCAUAAAUUAAUUAAUAUAUUUGUGUGUUGGUAUCUCAGCCAAAGUUUUAAUCAUUGAAAGACUAAAGUAUUUGAAUUUAGAAGUUAGUUUAGGUAGAGUAAUUUCUAUUAGAAAAAUAUUAGCAUACAGUGCAGAAUAAAUCCUCUUGAAGAACAUGCGUGGCAUACUUCUCAUAGAUAACUAAAUUUAAUUGUUGGCCGCAUUCAUAACUUUUAUAUAUCUUGGGGGGAAAGUAAGAUAAUUUAGACCAGAAGUUUGAAAAUCUGCUAAGCGAACAUCAAAUGUUAGCAGAAAAAUACUUAGGUUUGAAUAAUAAAAUUGAUCCAGUUCUACAGAAAUUAGAAGAAUCAAAAGGACGAAAUCUUAUAGUUUGUAAGAAUAACGAUUAUAUUAAAGAAGAGGUUUUAUCCAUAGGAAAGAAUCUAAUUGGUGUCCUAAAUAAAAGCAAAGAUUCAUUAUCAGGUGCUGAAAUAAGACGCGAUAUACUUGAAGUUAAAAAGUUACAAGAAGUAAAGACUUAAGUAAUAUUAUAAUUGUAUGAGUGAAUAUAGCCAAGCACUAAAAAAGUAGAAAAUUACUUAACACCUCCUGUCGGAUUUUCAUAUCAUGAUUCACCGAAAGAAGACUCCAGAAUAAUUAUAAGGCGGAAUAACAUGAUUUGCUGCAUAAUCGUGUUGUUCUGCCUUAUAAUUAUUCUCGAGUCUUCUUUUGGUGAAUCAUGAUAUGAAAAUCCAACAGGAGGUGUUAAAUACUUUUCUACUUCUUUUAAUGCUUGAUUAUAUUCACUCGAACAACUAUGAUAUGACUAAAGUCUUUACUUCUUGUACUAGUUUUGUAACUUGAAGUAUAUCACGUCUUAUUUCAGCACCUCAUAAUGAAUCUUUACUUUUAUUCAGGACACCACUCAGAUUCUUUCCUAUGGAUAAAAUCUCUUCUUUAAUAUAAUCGUUAUUCUUACAAACUGUAAGGUUUAUUCCUUUCGAUUCUUCUAAUUUCUGUAGAACAAGAUCAAUUUUAUUAUUCAAACCUGCGUAUUUUUCAGCUAACUUUUGAUGUUCUCUUAGCAGACUUUCAAUUUUUGGUCUAAAUUAUCUUGCCUUUUCCCCCAAGAUAUACAAAAGUUAUGGAUGAGAUUAACAAUUAAUUCUAGUUAGUUGUGAGAAGUAUGCCAUGUAUGUUCUUGAGAAAGAUUUGUUCUGCACCGUAUGCUAAUAUUUUCUUUUACUAGAAAUAACUUUACCUGAACUAACCUCUAAGUUUAAAUACUUUAGUCUUUCAAUGAUUAAAAUGUUGGCUGAGCUAACAACACACAAAUAUAUUAAUUAAUUUAUCAAUAUGCAAAAUACGAAAUUAAUUAGUAUGAAAUCUAUGUUAAAUAAAAUUUCAAAAUUAUUUAAUAUUAAAAUUUAUUUAUUUUAGUGAAUUCGAAAUUAACUUAAUUUACUAAUUAUUUUAUUUUAUGUGUUUUUGCACGAUCUUUUACGGGUUGGCUUAACCAAAGUGGCGACCUAUAGGUAUGCAGCGUUGUGUUAAUCCUACUCGGUACUCUCCGUAUUUAUCACUAUGUUGCUUCAGAAGCAGCUAAGUUCUUCCACUUGAUGUAUAUAUUGCGAAUUUAUGUGAUAAAUUCCUAUCGUCUUCCCAGGCAAUUCCACCCGAAGGGAACACUUCUCUACAGCUACAAGGUUCUCCAUAGACGCCGCACAGGCUAGACAGAGAACUACCGACAGAGGUUUCUCCAAUAGGAUCCCUAGCGUAAGAACUCAUCUCAUAAAUUCAUAAUAGAAAGACUAAGUGAAACACGAAACUACUUCAUUUCGACAACAUAAUUUACGUACGGAUUUUCCUUUCGGGAGACCACGAAGGGAUUACAAAGAGGAAAGAAGACUACCUUCUGCCUACCUCCACCACGGGGAGAUACAAUGCCUCAAAGGAUUUAUUACAACUGGAACUAGCUACUACUACUUUGGCUAUCGAGGAGUGUGAGGGCUCUGGUGCUCGCAUGCUGCGAUGCUCUGGAGUCUGGUGUUGUGUGUGUGUUCGCAGCGCUCAGUCCUCCUCCUUUUUAUAGUCUGCGCGGGAUGCUAGAUGCUCCCUUCUUUAUUCAUCUGCGUCAUAGCUGGAGCCUGGAGUAUCCCGUAGCUUGACACGCCUUAUGUGCCGCUAAAGUGCCUCAAUGUUUACACAAUCAAGCCUUGUGUGACUCCGAUUCUAGACUGAUAUUUUUGUCCAGACUGAGAGCUUGUCUAGACUAAAAUUUUUGUCCAGACUAAGAAGUUUGUCCAGAUAGAAGACCUUGUCGUGGCUGAGAGACCGACUUCUCGUUGCAUGGUAAAAUAUUGUUAUGGCAUGGCUAGGUAUAAAACCAGCCCUAUAUAUUAACUAUGUUACUUGCAAGCAAAGCUAUUUGCACUGUUAUUUACACAAGCCAACCCACUUUGCGUGCAUUGUUGUGUGCGUAUUGGAGCCAUGCAUUCUUUAGUAGUCUUGACUCUUGUUGAUUGCCUUAUGCGUGCAUGCAUUCCAUGGCUGGCAAAUUUUUUGGGGUAUAGGUCUACCCAGCCCAUAUUAUUGAUAAUAUUUUAUCAAUAUUUCGAAUUCCACCAAUAUUCAAAUUUUAUCAAUACUCGGGUGUAGGUCCUCUGCGCCUGAAUAUAAGAUGUAUACUACCAAAAAUGUAACCCAUCUAUAUACAAUGUGUAUAAAAAUGUAAUGUAACCCAUAUUAAAAAUGUAAGAUGUAUACUACCAAAAAUGUACAAUGUGUAUAAAAACAAUAGACAUCGAAAUAUUUAUUUAAAAAGGUUAAUCUUGUAUUUAUAAAAAUAUUAAACACGUACAAAGAAGAAUUUAUUGACAUAUAGUACAAAAAUUUGGACAUGUGUUAAAGAAAAGAAAAGAAAAACAAAGAAAACCAAAGAGGAAAAGGACACAAGCAACCAGAAAAAAUAGUGCAAAAAAGAAAAACUAAGGAGAAACAGCAUGAAACUGAAAGAUAGAAAAAGGGAAUAAGAAAACUGGAGAAAAACAGUGCGAAAAAGAAAAUGCAAGGAAGAAACAACAGAAAUUGAUAAGAUAGAAAAUGGAAUCAAGAAAUCUGAGAAAAACCAGUGGAAAAAGGAUAAAAAACAAAGAAAACAAAAACGAAAUAAAAAGUUGAAGAAAAAAGAAUGAAAACCGAGAAAGAAAUGAUGAAAGCGGUGAAAAACGAAGAGAAGCAAAAAACCUAAGAAAAAGCAUUGAACAGGGAAAAGGAAACCAGAGAAAUUAAAUAAGAAAACGUAGAAAAUUAGAGCGAAGACAACCACCAUUGAGUGUCUCGAUCAAAGAAACAUCAGAGAACGAAAAAUAUAUAUAUGAAAAUGGGCCGGCAUAGUAGCUACUCAUGGACGAAAAGCUUUCAGGCGAUAUGGUGAACUCGUUUUAAGCGAGAUAUAGGUUUUGCUUCUCUUAUGCCAAUUCCUAUAUACCGCUUAACACGCCAGUUAAAGGCCUGUUGGUAUUUGGCGCUUAUGCGUGAUUUAGCUUUAUAUCUAACGAGCCGCACAAAACGAGCUUCUCCCCACCACCCUUUCUGGGAACUUUCUGGUUCUUUGUGUCAUCAGUUUUUUUUCUUCAUUUCUCUGGUUUUUUUUCGUUUUAUUUAAAUGCAUGAAAUUUUCAAAUUCAUUUUUUUAAAAUCACUAGCCUUUUAUCAAAUAUGUUAUAUUUUUUCAAAUUCAAAAGCUUUCAUUAAAAUUUUUGGUUCUUUUUCAAAUUCUCGGUUUUUUCUUGAAAUUGUGUGAAAUUUUUUGAAAUUUGUAAACCUUUUUUUAAUUUCGCAAAUUUUUAGACAAUGGCAAACUUUUACAAAAAGAUUUUGAACUUUUUUAUAUUUGUGAACUGUUUCCAAAACCAUAAGAUUUUUUAAAUUCACAAUCUUUUUUUAAUUUAUGAACCUUUUCAAAUAUGUGAACUAUUUUUCAAAGUUACAAAAAAACUGAGGUCCUGAGUUGUUUUCAAUUGUCAAUAGUCAAACGGUCCACCAAGCAAACCUAGUACUCGAGGAGACAAAUGUGACAACCAGGUAAACCUAGUGGGCCGUGGCCCACGUACCGAUCUAUGCGAGCAGCAACGCGAUUCAGGGCACAAGAAGCGAGGCAUAUGCAUUGUCCUCUCGUAUUCAUCACUCAGUCACCUAAAUGCGCACAUGGGCCGUCCAUGAAGGACACACUCACACUCGAGAAAAACAUCGUAGCACUAUUAAGAAAUAUCGGUAGCUCUAGCCACCAGGCUUUGAAAAAACAGGCUACUAGUAUUAAGGCAUCUCUAAUGCCAUGCAUCAAAAUUGGACACACAAUUGGUAGAAAAAUAUUUUGAAGUUUAAAGUUUCCACAAAAAAUAAAAAUAUUGUUGAACUUUUUUAUAUAAAAAGUCCUUUUUAAAAUGUUCAUGGAUUUUCAAAAAUAUCUAUGAACUUAAAAUAUAUUCAGGACUUUUAGAAAGGGAAAAUAGAAAGAAAGAACAAAACCAUUGCCAAAAAAAGAAAAAGAAAAAGGAUAAAAGCGAAAAGAAAACCCGAUGAAGAAACUAUAAAAGAGAAAAGAAGAGAGAGAAAACACGUCCUGAAAAAAAGAAGAAGAAAACAUGUCCUCCUAUAGGGCUCAUUGCGUCCGAUAGGUGGUGCGACCCAUUGGUGUAGCCCGAGUUGGCCGGCCCAUUGGAUGGUACUGUAGCAAGCCGUGUAAAAAUACACAAAAGGAGUGUACUAGCUAGGAAUCAAACUCGCAACCACACCCGCUCGUGAACGCAGGUAGCUAGCACCAGAGUUGGUGUGUGUUACUCCCCUCUGUCCCAUAUUAUAAGAGCGUUUUUUACAUUAGUGUAGUGUAAAAAAUGCUCUUAUAUUAUGGAGGGAGUUGUUUCUAGUAGGCUGAGUGCACAUUUUAGAAACAACUUUGCCUCAAAUUAUUUUAAGAACUAAUUUUAGCCGCAUAUCUGUAUAUAUUUUUCGAGCAUUUCUUGAAAUUUGAAACAAUCUCUUAAAGUUCUGAAGAUUUUGUGAGAGAUCCUGAUUUCUUUUGGAAUUCACAUUUGUUUUUAAAAAUGUGAACAAAUUUCCAAAAUUGGAAACAAAUUUUCAAUUUGUUAUCAAAAUUUGAGAAACAUGAAUAGUGUUUCAAAAUGUUUAACAAAUUUUCUAAAACAUGAACAUUUAUGAAACUGCUGAAUAUGUUUUGAAUUUGGACAAUUUGAAACACUGUAAUUUUGUUUAAAUCCCUUUUUUAAAACACAAAUAUUUUUUGGAAAAGCUCGAAUAUUUUUUGAAAUGGGAAUCCUUUUUUUGAAAAAGCUCGCGUCUGGGCUGACCCAUCUCGCUCUCCGUUCAGCAAGGGUUCCAAGAAAACCGGCCGAACUGUACUGUUCACUUGACUUGGGCCGGCCAUCUCGGAAAUUGCUGGAUAAUUCGUCGCAAUGAGCCCGUCUCGUCGUAGUGGAUCUGUUAAAUGUUUUGUUUUUGAUGCUCAAUUGCCCCCCAAAAAAAUCUGAUUCCAGAAAAAAUUAGGUUAGAAGUGGAAUUUCCUAUUGGACGCACUUUGCGUCAAACUGUCGAGGUUUCGCACAGGGGAGAUUGAGCUAUCGUUCGACUGGGCCGGCCCGUUUAAGCUUUCAUCGUCCCCGGUUUUGGGAACCUUCUAGAGGUUUCCAGACAUUUUUUUUCUGGUUUUGGAAACUUCUAGAAGGUUCAUGAAACGGUUUUUUUCCUUGUUCUGUUUUGUCAUUUUCUUUUUUUGCUGUUCUUUCUUAUUUCGUUGUUCUGUUUCCUUUUUUUUUGUUUUU
rnacentral:lncRNA from 1 species